rnacentral:lncRNA from 1 species
CAGCCGAGCACCGUAGCGGGUGCCUGUUGCUCCAGCUUGGGAGGGCUAAAGAGUUGGUUGGAGGGCGAGUUUGCUCGAGCCCAUGUCAAUGCCGGCCCACCGAAAGGCAUGUGGUGCGCAGUCCCCGCCCGGACGUCAGAGAAAAAGGUGCCAGCGCGGCGCAGAGAAAAGAAGAAACAGAGCCCACAGCUGCUGUUGUUGUGAGGUGCUGCGGGUCCUGGGCCCGGCGCCAAGGUGCGCUGUCCGUCGUUGUUGGGUGCAGCCCUGUGUAGGCCACAAGGAGUUGUGAGCCGGGCUGACCUGUGUUGAAGAGGCCCGUUAGGAAGAACGGGUGCUCUUGUUGGGCCGUUGUCACUGCGAGGAGGCAGUCCGGCCGGUCGACGAGAAAAGCACUUGGGCCGUUGUUGAAGGAGGCAGACCAAGACCACAUCAGAGGUGUUGGUGGUGCGCGCGCGCGCACGUAGUUGGGCCAUCGCCGGAGGGGGAUAUUGCCCUCCGGCGGGUCGUCGCUGUGGUAAAAAGUUGUUCGAUGCUCUGGGGGGAUUCGUCGUGGGCUGCUGAAUAGGGGGUGUGGCAUUGGCCCGGGAGGCCGGCAAAUGCCGGCGGGUUAAUUGGGUCCGGGGGUUCGCCCCUCGGCCCGAAGCCCCUUGAUCUCGCCGAGCUGGGCUUCCACGGAGUUAGAGCGGCAAAGGGGUUGAGCCAACCCUCAGUCCGAGGGUUGUCGCCGGGCUGUGCGCGCCACACGCGCAGCCCGCUUCGUGGAGCGUGGGCUCGCAAACUAUAUCCCCUCCUACCAACUCUUUUGUUCUUCUGUUUUUUUUUUCUGAAAAGGAUAUAAUUCUGAACAGUGGCUUCUAUUUUCUUUGGUACUGCUUUGUACUGUAUGUGAAUUAGAUCACUAUUGGUUUACAAUAAACAAGUUAGUACUCCUUCAAAAGAGGCUGAUCAUUGCCGUUGAUGGGCCGGCCUCAUCAGCAAUAGCUGGCGGGGGUCCUGUGUUUGUUGGCCGUUGUGACAUGGUGCAUAACUAGUUUGUUGCAGUGCAAGUACGAACCAUGCGGACAGCCGAGAAGCGAGAGCUUCAUCAGGUGCCACUAGUGUCUGAUGGCAUUAAGGGGUUGGUGCGAUAAUCUCCCAUUUCACCAAGUUAGGUACGAUAAUGUCUCAUUUCACCAAGUUAAAUAAAAUAUAUAAAAUUUUAGCUAAGAAAUACACUUAUAACUGAAUUGACACUAGCUAAGCUAUGACAGUUGCAGGCAUUGGUAAGCUACCGUAGUUCUAUCGAGUCCUCUUCUCUGUUCAGCCUCCAAGCCACAUUUUUGGUCGUAUAUAUACAGUCAGUAUAUGUACUGUCAGUGCACAACAGCCAGUAGGCAGGUACAAAAAGAGCCGUGAGCGACAUGCCCACAAGAAGAUUAGCGAAAGCGCGCGCAGACUAAAUGCAUUCUCGCACUCUGUCUCUGCAAACCAAGCGCUCCGUUUUAGUCCCAUACCGCUAGUCACAUUCUGAGCAACCCAGCUUAAGAAGCCACACCUCCCCGGGGGCAGCCGCCGAGCUCGGUCGCGCGAGCCUGUCACUCUAGUCAGCUGGAGGGCUAAAGAGUUGGUGUGGUGAAAUGGCUCUGGCCCCGGCCCAAAAACGGGUUCGGCCUCUGCCUGGGUUGUGAGUUCUUGAGCCUAGGAAAUUGGCGAGGUCCAUCCGUCCUUUGAACGGUAGGGCAAAGCCGAAUCGUUGGACGCUUCGGCAUAAGAGAACGGUCGGCCCAACGGGGUUGCCGGAGCCCAAGCUGCGUCUCGUCAUGUGUCCAUCCGGGUGGUCAAGGGAGGCAACAACCCACUCCCUGAUCUUUCCCAUUAAGGUAAUCGGGACUCGCAUGGACACUCCCUGGCUCACUCACUAACCCCUCCCAUCAACUCUUUUCCUUUUCUUACUUUUGUCCUAACGUUCGAUGGCAGUUUUAUCAUUGAUAUAAUCGUUUUGGGCUAGGCCUAAAUUAAUCUGUCUGGAUGUUUUCAGAAAUGCACUGCUCUUUCAGGUUCAGUGCAACAAUCAGCAGUCUUGCAUGCUAUACUGUGUUGUAUAUUUAUCCUGUGCUACACUCACAUCUUUCGUUAGUUAAUUUAAGGUUUGCGAACUUCAAAGAUGAUUGCUCAAGGUAUAAAGCACAGAAUUUGAACUUUGUUCAGGUUCUGCCUUUUUGGUUUUCGAAACACACCUAAUAUUUACAUGCAUCUCUACAUAGAGAUGAUAGUUUUUAUUUUGUACCUGAAAUCACACAAAAAGGAAACAUAUAUUUUCCUGGGCACCCCAAAAAUAAAACCUUUAAUAUCCACUCAAAAAAAACAUGGUUCUUAGUCUAAGGCUACACCUGCUGAUUAUCCAGAUAGUUGGAUUUUGUAUAGUUGUUAUGAAUCACGACUUGAUCAUUAUAAUCCGCGCGCACUGAUACACUUCUUUUUAAACCUCUAAGGUCAGUCUCAGUGGAAGUUUCAUCUGAGUUUCAUUCACAUUAAAUAGGUUGCCACAUAUGCAUUUUCGAUGGCAUGCAGUGUAUUUAAGAAGAGAGAAGAAAUGAGUUUCAUCUAGAUGAACACGAUUAUCUUCUCUAUGAGUCUUGAAUAUGAAACCAUAGAAUGAAACUCUCCAUUGAGAGUGGGUAUUUCAUCCAAGUUUCAUUUCAUUUCACAUAACAUGGCAAUCUUGGAAAUAACACUAUGAAACUCUUCACUGAGAUUGGCCUAAUAUAUUUCAGUAUCCUAUGACUUUUCUUAUGUAGGGCCUGUUUAGUUUCUCAUUUGGGCCAAAAAAAUUAUAUUUUGGUCCACCAUUAUGCUGAAUGGAACUAAACAACAUCCAAAUUUUUUGGCAAAAUGAUUUUACCAUUUUGCAUUCUAGAUUUUAGCCUCGAAAGCCCUCCAAAAAAAAGCCAAAAUAGCAGCUUAAUGUAUUUUAGACCCUGAAAAUUUUGAUAUUUUGGAUGAAGCUAAACAUACACAUGAAAAAAUUGACAUUUUGCAUUUCAUCAUUUCAAAAUACUUGGUAUUUUGUAUUUUGCAUUUCAUGAGGAACUAAACACACCCAUAUUGUGGUUUCCUUUACCUAAAGUAUUGUUCAGAUGCUAACAUACAGUAGUUGUGGGGCAUUCCCACCACCAAGAUUUUACUCAACAGUGUAAUGCUUACCAGUUACCAGAAACACAAACAGAACGGAGGACAUGAGACGGAAAACAACGAUUCAGAAAACUAGGCUACACGAUGCAGUACAUGGUUGUAUGUUACUGUCCUUGUUAGCUAACAUAUAUACCUAUCCAAUCUGCGCUUUGCAAGUUGAACAGCGGUAGUGUACUCAUUGAUACUGCGGUGCCAUCUAGUUCUUGCCUGCUCAAGGCGUGGUCUGUGGUAUAGGAUCCUGGUCAGUGUGAAAUCCAGCUUAGCUGGACCAUAUCUUGGUUUGUCCUCCGCAUCUCACAGUUAUUCCUUUUUGCUUUUCUUACUGGACUUAGUAAAGUUUGACAAGCAGGUGAUUGCUAGAAGCACCACAGCAACGGCAAAAACUGCAGGGAAAAAAAAUAGGGGAAUUACGAAGAUAUCCAAAGGUCCAACGCAAAACAUCUACAAGGGGGAGGAGCAACAAUGUAGAUUUAUAUAUAUGGUUAGAAUGAUUGAGAUGGAUGUGAGUAGCAUACCAGCUAUGGUGACAAAUAACAUCAGAGCAAGCCGGUAUCGUAUUAGCCAUGGGAGCUCUGUUUCGAGAGUACAGUGACGUUGGAAUGUAUGUGGUUGUCUUUUGAUUGCGUGCACACCCGAGGGCUGCAGUUCAGAUAUAGGGAACUCUACACUGUGAACAGAACGACCCUCAACAUCUUUUAGUUCAAGUUUAAUCCGGGGAGGUACAGCAUUCCAAUCAAUUUCAAUUGCUCCGAAAUUUGGUAGGCCUGCAACAGCAAAACACAAAUGAUUUAACAGUACAAGUAUAACCAAAACUUCGCUAAAAAAAAGUAUAACCAAAAAAGAACACAGAAGGAAAUAAGAUAAGCAUAGAGAAAUCUUAGCAAUGCCUUAAGAUGUCGUAUGAUCACAUUUUACAGUAUAAAUGAACCGCAUUUUUUUGGAGAGUUUUAAUUUUGUCCAGAAUCAACAGCUUACUGGUUCAAAAAGAACAGAAAGGACCUCUUGAUCUUAAAAAACUAAGAAAUUCAGUAAACCAAAACAAGCUAUCCGACACUGAUGGAUUCAUACUUAAAAGGUUCUACCCAAGAAAGAGUUGUACCUGUUGUGCAUGAUUUAUACAGGCAAUUUGGGCUCAAAACUCGCAUGGUAGUUGGUGUUAGUACUGCUAGAAGUCUCAUAAGAGGUUGAAAUACUUCUGGCACAGCGUUGUCGACAGACUGGGUAAGACCACUCGAAGUAACAUCGUACGACGGGUAUUGAGCUCCACAGUCGAAUCUGGUGAUUUCUCCGAAAUGGACAUCCCCACUAAUAAAUAUCACUCCAGGUCUCUGCAAAUAGUCACACAGUCCAUAGAUGUUUCAUAAGAGUAAUGAACACAUAAACAUCUGGUAUCAUGGUAUCUUCUAGAAGACUCAGGAUUCCUCAAAAGUUAAUUGAAGGAGAUAUGCUAGCAACUAGUGCAUUUUAUUAUUUACGGAAACGCUUAGACCCUGAAUAAUAGCUUGUCCACAGGAGUAAUAGUAACCAACCUUACUACUAUCAAUCAAUCUGAACAGCCUUUCUCUCUCCCUUGGGAAGCGUGCCCAGGACUCCACAUAGAACAAAGGCCCAAUAGUAGCUGAAAGAUUAGACACUACCUGUACAUUGGAACAUAGCUAUUAUACAAAUGGAAGUUACAAUGCAUAUAGCAUAUAAAAAAAUGAAAGAAAAUGCAAUUGCUUAUUAUAGUGAAAGCAUUAAGACAUAAAAUAUAGAGUGAUGAAUCAGUAGGAUAUUCUCUGCCCAUUGAAGAGCUGCCAAAUAGGUGAAUGUAUUAUUCAAAUUCCGUUACCAAAUACAAUCACAUGUAUCAUCUGUUUUAUUUGAGGGAAAAACAGCCUACCAAAUAAUACCAGAUAUUUUAUACUAUCACUAAAUAAAACUUCUGGUAAGGUGCAUUUCCGUAUACAGAUCUCUGACAUUGUAAAAGUUUGUGAAGUUUUUUCAAAACUUCUAUGCAGCCCAUUAGUGGGAAACUAAGGUGGCUUUUGCUGUGAAAACUUGUGGUAUAUGAUUUCUACCUGACCAUCUUUGGUUCCUGGCUAGAUUAGUUUUUGAUUUUUUGAAGUACAGUUUUUUAAGUUUUCAACAAGUAUAUAUAUACGUGGUUACUUCUCCAAGUAUAUAUAUACGUGAAAUAAUAGGUUUACCUGGAUCGAAGAUCCAAUGAUGGUGAUCUCUGAUUGAGGACCAUGAAGCUCCCUCUCUAGCCACUGCCACUGGGGAUCUCCCAGAAUAGUUCCAUCACUUAAUAGCGGGUCUCUGUGAUAUCUGGUAUCCAGCAAGAUUACCUGCAAUACAUUGCUGUUACCUUUAAUUCAAAAUUGAUAAUAAAAUACAAUUUACUACAGAAGGGGCAAAGGCACUAGUUCAUAUUUCUUUUUAUUUAGCCCGGAUGGAUGACCAUUCUAGACCUUAUACCAGCUUUAUGCCCAGUACCACCUGUGGAUACUUGCAACGGCUACUGGGAUGAUGAUUUACAUUGAUUGGGACAUGCAAAGAUGUAACAUAUGUGUAUGUUGUAGGGAUGUACUAAACUUAAUAGGGCAAUAUCCGAUGUAAAUUGGAUAAAUAUCAAAUAUCCAUAAAAAUUAAAGAUGUAACAUAUGCGUAUGUUGCGAUGUACUAAACUUAAUAGGCCAAUAUCUGGUGUAAAUUGGAUAAAUAUCAAAUAUCCAUAAAAUUUUUAUGUGAAGUUCUCAAAGUUUACAUAUAUAAGAGGAGAACAUGCUCUAUAUCACUCAAAAAUUUGAACCUAAGGCUACCAGAUAUCAAAGGGGGAAACAGUAUAGCAAUGUGUCGCACUGUUCAUAACUGUUUUUUGGUUUACAAGAAAUAUGCAUUUUUUGUCUUUGUAUCCUGCAAACAUAAUUGACCUUGAUCUUUAAUUUUGCCCAUUAUCUAUUGUUGAACACACACUUUCCUAUUGUUUUUAUCUUGAGAAUCUCUAAAAUACAAAGCAAUGAAUGGAUUCAAAUUCACAAAGUAGCAAGUUAUUGAGAACUUGGACAUCAUUAAAUACAAAGGAUCAAUUGCUGUGAAAAUUUUGCAUUCAAUGAACAAAUAACGAAGCCAAAACAGAGCUAAGGAUAAUCAGAAGAGAUACAUGAUCCAUUUUGUGAAUUUGUUUUGAAGGAAAUUUUACUAGACUCAUAAUAAUGAAAAAAAAAGGAGAACAUAGCAAAGACUUAAAGAAUCACUGCAUCAUGAGUACGAUGAUGUGUUAUAUCACCCUAUUUGAAAAAGAAAUUAGAUAAACCUUCUCUAGUUAACAGCAAAAUUGAACAUAACAUAAGAGAGACUAAACCUUCACACGUUUUCCUUCAGGGCCAAACAUGUACGAGGCAUAAACACCAGCUUGCUUCCUCCUAAACAAACAACAAUAGAGUAUUAAAUUAUCAGGCAGGGAGAUUUCUUCCCUUGUUGACCGUUAAAAAAUGAAUAAGAUUAUUAUGAGACAUCUGCGGGAGUAUGUCUGUAUGUAUGCAGAUCCUGAAACUCAAACAGAAAUGUCUGGUCACAUCCUGGAAGAAGACUUUAAUGUUACUGUGACCACAAAAGUAACAAGGAAAUAACAUUAGAGCGACAAUGGCAAUAAUAUUUUAUCCUAACAUAAACUCCAAUAAAGAAAUAAACUACAAACAAAUGAAAAAUGGAAGAAAUUUACCAGAAAGUUGAUACAGCUAUUGAACUGGAGUAUAUAUGUUAUUACAGAACAGAACAAGAGCAGAGAUUUAAGGAACAUGAAAGGAUAUAAGAAAAUUAAACAGAUGUUUGAGUGUCCAAGUUUAAAAAUGAAUUCCCCAAGUAAUGUGGUGUUGAUGAAAUGCAGUAUCUCCAGUGAAGGAUGCUGUUUUGUAAUGAGGAAAAAUAGGUAGUGGGUUGGGUGUGGACACAAGUAUGUGAGACAGGUUGUAGGACAAUGCUUUAAAGAAAACAAAUCACUUGCCAAUGUACUCGUUUUGAAUUGAAUUAACAAACAAUAACUACACAGCAUAAAAAUGAAAAAAAAAAAAGAUUAACUCCAGUGCUUCUAAGUGCAUACCGUUUACUGUCUUCAGGUUCAUCCAAGAAAUCUAAGAGAAGCCUUUGAGUAAUCACUUUCCGAUUAAACUCUUUUCCUGCAUCAUUCAAUCCAUAAUCAUGGUCAUCCCAUGUUCCAAUAACCUGCAAUUAGUGAAUUUCAGUAGUGACACCACACCAGUUUCUCAUCUUUCAGAAGAGGAAAGAAGAAGCAGUGUUGAAAACUGUCAAUAAACUGUAAUAAACGAAGAGACAAAGAUGACACCCUAGCCCACAAAUGGAGAUUAAAAGUCUAUCCAAAAUGCUUUCUUCUCUGCCAUAGAACCAACUCGGGAGUGGGGACUGGGGUGUGGAGUGCCAUAGAACCAAUCCAUAUAUUCGAUUUUAUGUACGUUUGUCAUUAUUGUAAUGCUGUAUCAUCAGCAUAUCCAUGCUACAUCUUAUUGUAGUAUCAAUCAAUAUAACCCUCAAAUCCCAUGAGGCCAUGACACGAAAGCUGACAAAGCAAUUAGUCAGGAGCAGCUGCGAUCGUCCAUGAGGGGAAGAAAGCAAAGGAGGCCAGGCCUGACCUGAGCGGUCUCCCUGAGCCUGGCGUACCCGGGCUGCGCCCUGGCGAGCUGGUACCGCCUCCGCAGCUCCUUCUCGGUGGAAGGGUAGAAGCGCGGCGCGUUCUUCCAGGGCCCCACGGUGCGCUCCUUUCCGAAGACCCGGAAUGGGCGCUUGUUGUCGCCGUAGACGUUGUCCCCGAGCCAGACGAACACCUGCGGGUCGAACCCCACGACGGCGUCCCAAAUGGGCUGCACGAAAGUACGAAACAAUCCCCGUCACAACGAAUUGAUCGAAAUGGGAAUGGGAUGCGCGGGCAUGGCGCCGGCGUGGGGCGUUCCGUCGACCACCUGGGGCUCGCUCUGGUUGGCACAGGAUCCGAAGGCGAUCCUGGACACCACGGCGUCGGGGUCGGCGCGGGCGGAUGAGGACAGGAUUAUCAGGAGGAGGAGGGAGAGGAGAGGGAAGGUGGCCGCCAUUGCGGGUAGGGAGAGCGACGUACGAGCAAGCGAGCACACGGCAGGCAGCGGGCGAGACGAGACGAGACGGCGAGGAGGAAUUCUCAAUUGCGGGAGGUUGGCAGGAGAGAGGUCAGAGGUGGGAUGGAUAUCCCAAUUUCCAAGGCGCCGGAUCCCAGGCAGGAGAGGCCGAGCCGAGGGAGAGGUGGACGUGUGGUGGUGGGGGCGAUGCCGAUGGCGAUGGCAGGCGCAGACGCACGCUCUAGAAGAGAGAGCGAGGAAGAAAAGCUGGAAGCUCCUUGUUUGUUUGGCCUCACUUUUUCACCAGUUUCGUUUUAAACUAAUUAUAUAUAUAUAUAUAUUAAUUAAUGCGGUGGAAUUGUGUGGAAAACUACGUGCGGUGGUGUUGCUCCUCUUCUAACCAUUCCUUGGUCAACAAACCACGCGACACGCCGUGAUGAUGUUUCUAGAUAGAGACAACAACAUGCAGGGAUUUGCAAAUGUACCUAUAUAUGCUGUUGCUAGCAAUUCGGGAUUUGGAAAUCGUGUGGUUCGUCAAGAACAAAAGACAAGGGGAUUGCAAAUCCUGCUUCAUUGUGAAUUGAUGAUCAUGUCUUUGCUUGCCUUACGACCUGUUGCGAGAAGGAGAGACUUGGUUGGGACGAAACUGCAGCAGCCUUUCCGGCAUUUGCAAAGGAUGGGAGCCAAAAAGGCGUGAUCCGGAGUGAAAAGGGCUGCCAACUUGCUCUGCCUAAUUUACGUUUCGCCUUUUGCUUGGGAACUUUGCCACAUGUGCUAGCAAGUUUGCCGCAAACUGCGAAAGGCAUCACGUAACGUUGCUGUUCAAACUGAAGUUUCCAUUUCGAGCUCGAAUAUUUCCAGAGCUGUCACGUCUGUGUUAAGCAGAGAUAAGCUAUCUUUUGCAGGGGAUCAGAACAGUACUCAUUCACUACCAUUGCAAUUAACAUGAGAGAACCUACCUCGGCACGUGGAGCGCUGAGCUUCAGCACGAAGCAAAUUAUCAGACUUUAAUACUUUAUGAACGCUGCAAAACCAGCCUGAGGCAUCUGAUUCCAACAAAUACAUAGCAGCUACAUGCUACUCGUAUUUUCUACCAAACAUUCCAGACCACAAGUGCUAACACAAACAGAUAGAAGAGUCAUGAAAGAAACUAUCCAGAUUCGGCCAGGUUGCCAAGCUGCAAGCCUGCAACUCCAUACAGCAAAGAGCCUGUUACAUAGAGUCAGGGCUCAGGAACAUAAUACAUGGUCAACGAAGUACCUACAUUACAUGUCAUCUAGUCUAGAUUCCAACAACAUAUUACAGCAAUUGUGUUGCAUCAGUUUAUGUUUCCCCAGAUGGCCUGCCCCGAGGUCACUUUGUUGCUUGGCCUUGCUGUCAAUUCAUAUAGGAUCCGAGCAAAUGUGUCCGAGUAUUUCCCUUCUGAUGUCAGGAUCUCAGCAAAAGUGUUCUCAUGCACAAGGAGAUGCAUCCUGUUUUGAGGCUCAGAGACAAGGCUCUCCAGUAUCAUCGACGUCUUCCUGCAGACCUCAGGCACCGGAUGCGGCGUCUUCACGAUCUUUAGGAGUCUAUCGACAGCCCUGGUUCAAUUGACAUCGAAAUGGUAAAUUUUACAGACUGUAAUGCCCCUUCUCUGAUAUUAGGAUGCUUUGUCUAAUUGUAUGAAGUAGACAUUUACCAUCGCUCACUGGCAAGCUUGAGCCUGCAAUCCAUAUUCACUUCGGCUACAUUGUAGAGUGCACUAACAGCAGCAGCCUGUGCAUCAUAUGCUGGUACACUCAAUAGGUCAACUAGUCGUUUGUAUAUCUGCAUCAAGUAAACCAAUGUAAGUACGACACCUAAAGAGCUGAGAAACAGAUAGCUUUAUUCAAAUCCAUCUGCAUACCAUAAUGGUACAACAGUAAAUACUACUAAAUGCAAAGAGUGAUCCAAAUUCCAAAAAUACAUUUACCUGUGGAAUGACAGGAAGAAGAAAUGGCUCAUUGUCUGGAUUUAUUAUCAGACGGCCAAUCAAUUCAGCAGCGGCACAGUGCCAUGGCUUCACGGAAGAAGAAAGCAUACCCAUUAUGGCAUGAACUGCACCUUUCUCACUAUCUUGGCAAAGAGCAGGCAAAUGAGUAAACCUCAAGAUAGAAAUGAAUCGGUAAAGAAUAAUGCACUUCUAGACUCAUCUUACGUCAUUUUAAUGAACGAUGGCUUUGAUGAGCUGAAGAUCCUCAGGUCCAACACAGGUGCUAAAUUGACAAGGGUCUCCACCAUGUUUGUUAUGAGCUCGUCAUCUUCUGUUCAAUGACAAAUACCAGUACAACUUGAGUUCUCAAUUAUGUAUUAAAGUCUGUCGGAAAAAAUAGCUGGAGAUAUGUCACAUAGCCCCAGGAUAAAUAGCUCACUCAAGUUACAGCAGAUAGUCGAAUAGGAGUACAAACAUACCAAAAAAACAUAUAACUUUCACAUCAUCAAUAUUUUGCAGAGUUAGACCAAACACAAAGUUAAAAUAGGAACCAUAAAUAGCCAGUUUCUUUGCCAAGCUUGUGGAGAACUGAGCAAUAGCUCGGUUGCAGAGCCUCCUGCCUGGCAGACUGGCACCUUAAGACAAAGCCAAGGGAAAGUCACCCCGUGGGGAUUUUUCGCAGAUUAAUAAACAACCUAGAUGGAGCAUAUGCAGGUAAUAAUUGGACAAAACAUAAACUGCAGAAAACUUGAAGAGCCAAACACAUUCACAUAGCCUCAUUUGAUCAUCACCAAGUUAACCUAUAAACCAAAAAAACAAAGACACAGGACUAUUUCAAUAUUUACCUCUAUUCUGGUCCUCUAAGCAAUGAAAUAUUGACUCCAAGCAAUGCCUAUGUUGAACCAUGAUAAUCUCAUUUUCUGGCAUAAAAGAGAAAUUGCGGAUUAUAUUGGAGGCUGCAAUAGCGCACUGCUGCCUUUCUGCCCUCCCUUCAUCAUCAUUGUUAAACAAGCCAUCCUCAUCAAACCAAAAGCUUGCAGCGCGCUUCUUCGUGACACUGGAGUCUUCCGUCUUUGAUUGAUCAUUAUUAGAGGUACUGUAAUUAACACAUUUUAUAGAGCAUAAGUAUGGCAGCAAGUGCCAUGGAUACUGAGAUGAGUUGUCAGGAUCUUGGUAAGACUAGUAACAACAUACGUGGCAGUGUCAGAGUAGACUUUUUCCAUGUUCUCCUGGCCAAAGCCCGAGAGUGUUGUGUUGGCACCCAAAGUUCUUACUCUGGGUGGUUUCAGAUGGUCCUUAGGCAUUGAAAUAUCUCUCCAUUCAUCAAUCUGCACAAAAUAUCAAAGCAUAAGACAGAAUGCAAAAGAAAAAUGAUGGUAGCUUCUUUUAGAGGAGAUACCCUGGCACAUUAGUAUGUUAUUACUUAGCUAGAAUUUAAUUUGGUAUAAGAAACAUAUGAAUAAGAUGAGAUGAGAAAGUGCUUGGGUGACCCAGUAAUAAUUGGACCUCUUCUGACUUUAUUAGGAAGAAGCUUAUUGUUAGCUAUCAACAAGACAGACUCUUCCACAGUUAAAUCUAUCUGACGCAUUCCCUCUUUCUCUCCCUCUCUCAUCUCCAUGUAAAUGAUGUGACUGCCACAUGACAAAAAAAAAUGUUGUCGCUACAAAAUCACCAAAAAAUACCUAAACUCGUCCGAGGGCAUGGUUUACACCUGUUUUAUAUGAUUCUGGACAAAAAAGGGUGAACCCUUGUAGGAUAUGGGGAGAACUCUAGGCAGCCUUAUCUUUGAUCUCUUUUUUUUGCAACAUGUAGGAUAAAAUUUAGAACAAGUGAAGGUUUGGGAUUUGGGAAUCAUUAGAUGACCUUUUUUCCUUUGUAUUAUGGCUACAAACCUACAGUGGGCAAUGGUGCAUUGGUGCCAUAUCAUAGUAUGCAUGAGGUCAUUACCACUUUCUUCAAUGUUUCAUGUUGAACGGUGAUGCUAACUUGAUUAAAUCUAGUUCAAAUGCAUCCUAAUGCAAAUAAAACUAGCACUCAUUAACUCCUUAGCCAGACAGGACAAAGAUUAUGACAAAAAAAUUAAAAAAGGAAAUUGCAUGGUUUAGUAAAAGAUACAUCAAACUGGAAAGUAAAAAGGGAGACAUACAACUUGAAGAAGAGCAUCUAGGAGCCCAGGAACUUUAGCAAGAGGUGUUGUAUCACGUCGUUGGUCGUCUUUCUCCUUAAAUGAGAGUACUGUAAGGGCAUUCAGUGCCCACAGUAUCUCUGACUUCAACCCACUUUGCAAUGCAAGGACAAUUCUUUUGUUGUUCUGAUCUGUCAAAUAGCCAAUCCUGGAAACCGUUAUUACAAUAUGAUUACUUGUGCAGUUUAAGCACAUGAUGAAGAACAUGAGAUAUCAUCUCUAACAAACGGGAUAAAACAAGAGGACAAUAUAGACUCUAUGCAUCUUAAAUAUAGAGAGCAGGAUCACAAAAGAAGGUGGUCAUAAUUGUAGCAUGCCAUGAUUUGUCAGCUGUACAGAAUAGCUGUUUCCAUGGGAAAAUAAAAACAUGUACACACAUUAUAAAUCUGUAUAGUAAAAGUGCUUGGCUGCUUGCACCUACAUACACUUUCAAGCAAGGAUAUGUGCACAAGUAUAAAAAUAUCUAAGUCCAAUCUUAGUCAUCACAUAGAAACUCAGCUCUCAUUGAUAGGGCUCCAAUUCACAGCACCACACCAGAUAUGGAAUUUGUCAACCAAAUUAAAGUGGUUUAGAUAUUUAUAUUUACUCUAGAAUAGAAACACGAUGAUACAAUACAACCAAGUAGUCUCAGUGUAUUCCAGUUCCAGUUUCAUGUAUUUUAGAGCAAGGAAUACCCAACCUCAACAACUCCUGGAGCUGGAGCUGUGCCAUAAAGGUUUGGCAGCCAUGCAACAGAAAUCAUUACAGCUAACUUGGCUUGCAACACAAUUCAAACUGGAAAUGAAGCAUAUUACAAACUUCUAAGAAUAAAAAAGAAAUGGAACUGAAAAAAAAAAAGUCUAAACUGGAUAUUAAGGCCAGAUUCAAAGUCGUUUGGAACUCUAUAACCUAAUCCAGGCCUGAAUUAUGUGUCUAAGUAUUGGAGGUGGAGCAGUGGUCUGAAAGAUAGCCCGUUAGUGUUCUAUUGUAUCACACUGAUUUGAUAAAGGGUUCAGUUGUGGGGUCAAACUUUUAUCAUUAUGUGCAAACUUUGCUACUCUGCGGACUGUUUCAAGAGUAUGAGCUGGGAUCUGAAGGGAGCAGAAAGUUAAGCUAAAUUAAAUGGUAAAUGCACUGUUUUAGUUUGCAUGACUGUGAUGGUUAAGAUUUUAUUUGACAGUCUACACAAUAACACAACGGUUUUGCAGUAAUACCUCAGCAUAGUGGCUUUGCCAACAUAAGACAACAUGACAAUGAUGUUGUUUCUGAGAAAACAACAAACCACAACAAACUGACCCCAGAUCCCCCCAUAAAACGUGCACUCAGAUGCGAAAAUCUUGGACCCCAACGCAUUAUGCCUCCAAUGUCAAUACCAAGCACAUAAAAAUUAAACUGACGUCUCCAGCUCCAGCUGAAAGAGAGGAUUAUUCAAAGUCUAAAGCCCCCAAUUUGCAUCUGACAACUCUACCCUAAGGAACAGAGGCAAGAGCAAUAAUUCAGAGUACCUACCAACACCCCAGUUCAUCAGUCUCCAUGCCCUAGAAACCCAUAUAGGCUCAGAUGAACUGCAGAAGCAGACGAAUGGGCGAAUUACCUGACAGGGCUGAUAGGACUUGGAGGGACGGCCCAACCAGCGCGGCGGACGCACCCGGGUCGACGACCGCAGCCGCCGCGGCAGCGGCCGCGGCUCCGCCGCCGGUGGUGCUCCCGAACGGGCGGCCGCGCUUCGCCGGCGUGCCUCCACCGGUCCCACCAGACUUGCCUGACUGCUUCUGCAUAGCUAGGGUUUUGGAGCUCGGAGCUUGGAGGCGGAGUGAUCGAAAACGUCGUGGUCGGAGCUCGGAAUUGGGUGGGCAGUUGGGCACUGGCGCACCGCGACGGAGGCAGACAAGGGUGGCCGCAGGAUCUUUACUCGGAUGGUGGAGAUUGAACGGACUGCUUGCCGUUGCUCUACAGAUCUGGCUAUUCAGGUCGGCCCGAUGGCAGUCCCAACUCCAAACCUAAAGUCUGUUUUUUUCCUUAAUAGGUAAAUGUCCGUGCGUUGCUACGGGAAUCUUAAAAUUUUCAAUACAAUUUAACACAAUAAAAGUAGAAAAAAAUAGCAGGUUAAGAGCUUAAAUUUUCAACACAAUAAGAGUAUCAAAAAGUAGUAGAUCAAAAUAAAGACAAAUAAUUUUUUAACUUGCUUGGCAACAUAAUGUUUUGAUCCACAUUUAAAUAAAUAAAUGUCAAAUUUAUUAACAAUAUCAAAAUAAGCGUAUGAUAGAUAAAUCCUCCACUCUCUUUCAUUGUCUUAUCCCCGUUAUGCAGGUAAGAUAUUCUCGUAUGAAUAGAGGACUAACGCGCCACUGUGAAUUCCCAUCAUAUGCCAAUGCCCGUAUAUUGCUAUGGGUGAAAUCUUAUAUUAAUUCAGUUUAUUGCUCCAAUAAAAAAUUUUCAAAAAGAUGUUGACGUCAAUAAUGAAGAUAAAGCGAUAUAUGAUUUAUUUUUGCAUCACCGGUAUAAGUGGAAAUGAAAUAUUAAUCAAACUUAACUAUACAAGGCAUGCAUAUCAACAAAAUGCAGCAUUGUUGAAAUGCGCGUACGUUUGCAACGGGGAGAUAUAAUGCUAUGAUAAUAUGAAUAUGAAUGUGUGUUGUAUUGUUAUCAGAAAAAAAUAAUACUUCGAGCAUGACGGUUCUCGGAAGUUUGGAGUUCAAAGGGCAAUAAUACAAUAUACAACUCAACACCGGUAUCACAAUGCUCAACUCAAACAACAACAGAGUGAACCGAGAAGGAAAUAUUGUAAUUUAACACAAAGGAUAAUGGUGCAUGCAGUGAAAGUCUCCCGUCUCCUCCACGGUUGAGUCCUAACCCUUGCAAGUUGCAAGUGGUAAUACUCCCAUGCAGUCUUCAAAGUAUCAAUUGCCUUUAUAAUCCCACAUCCAACCUUGAUUAUGUCACUACCCUAUAGUUUAUCAUCUGAACUGCAAAUCCAAGAUGCAAGUGACAUGGUGUAUCAGAUAAUACAAAGGUUAUAGAAAAAAAAUAAUAGCUCAAAUCCUUUUGAGCGCUAAAGGCAAGAGAACCUACAACUGAACCAUAAAUCAAAAUUUGGACAUAAGAGAUGGUAGCAAAAAUCCUGAAUAUGCCAGAGAUGCUGUGCAACAAGAUUCUAAUUUUAUUAUGAAAAUGGUGAAUAGUACGAAAUGCAGUAAAUGCUGGAGACAAGCAGCUAACCCCUACUGCUAUUGCCGGAUCUGUUGAUAGUUGGUUACUGAAAUUCAGAGAAAGCGAAAGCUUACUAUAGCAUGUCCAACAACGGUCGGAUGCACCUGGAAACCUCCCCCAUUAGACAUGCUGAAAAUCAACGUAGAUGGUGCUUUUGCCCAAGCUAACAGAAAGGGGGCUAGGGCUUCAUAUAAUGUUAUGAUCAUACAAGUGAUGGUGUUCUAGCAGGUGCAGGCAAUGUAUCGGCUCAUCAAGGCAAGGACUUAGUAUUGGUUCAUCACACAGUUUUGCAGUGAAGUGAGUCACUGCUUCUAAUAGCUUGUCAUGCUCUAAUCUGAAUUUUCUCUCUAAGCAAAUGUUUUUCUCUGAAACUUAUCUCAAAACAAAGGUCUGAAGAUCCAAUUUUCUCCCUAGAAUCUAAAUAACGUCCAUUCACAUUCUUUCAUAACUAUAUUAGGACUUGUUGUUUAUCUGAUGAAACUAAAAAUUCUGAACAUUGUCCAGUAACCCAAAACAAUGGAUCAAUUUCAGUACAUGUAGUUUAUCUGCUAAUUAAUUCAACAAUUCAAUAUGAGAUGAGAUCCGUCAUGCUGGAGCUUGGUGUAGUGUAGUGUAGGCAGAGAGAUAGAUUCAUAUGAGAUGAGAUCGAUAAGUACUCCAAGUUCAAGAUAGGAUGAUUAUUAGUCAGUAUACAUACCACAGGCUCAUAGCUUAAACGCAGGCGCACCAACCUUUCGAUGUGAGGGCGAGGCUCCAGCUGCAGUUGCAGCUUCAGGUUCAGGUUCAGGUUCAGGUAGGGAGAAACCCAUGGCAGCGGCAGCUGCGCGCACCGGCACCAGCCUUUCCACAGCUUUCCUUUCUUUUCGGCUGUUGCUGCCACCGUGGAGGGUCCACCUCCCGUUACUUUCUCCUCCCUCCCAUUCAUUAUUACCAACCAACUAACCCAUCACCCAUCAUGAGGAUUGACGAUUGAGGAAGAGGAAACAUCUCGCACAGCACAGCACAGCACAACAGUAGAAUACGGCAAAUCUGCAUCUCCGGCUCCAAGCUUGUGUUUCUCCUGCUGCUUUGCGCCAUGGUGCUGCCGACAGGCAUAUCCUCUGCAAAGAUCCAUGGUAAAAUCAAUCAAUAUCGAAUCUCAGAGUCCUACUUGGUUGUGCUCAAAUUGAUUUGCCAGCGCUUGUGCUUUGUGCUUGCUCAAAUUGAUGGCGAUGGCGGUCGUGGCAAGGAACCCAACCAACAACCUUGUGGCCCUCAUCAACGGCAGGAGGGCGGUGAGCAAGCUGCCUGCGCUGUGCAACAGCAGGGGCCUCGGGUGCAUGACGCUGCAGUACAUCUCCGAGUGCAUGUCCACGGGCCCGCCGCCGCCUGCAGCAGCGGCAACAGCAACACGGUGGUGUGCCAGCCUCCCGAGACACACAUCACGGAGGUCUUCGCCGCCAACUGCGGCGUGGAGCUCCCCACGGUGGACGUCAUCUCCGGCUGCCACAAGGACCGCGAUGGACCGGAGGAUGCGCUGCAGGCCGUGCUGGCAGCAGCCACCGGCAACAGCAGCACCAAUGCCACCCAGGCAGCCGCGCUGGCGGUGAUCCGCGGCAAGGAGCACACCCAGGUGGGCGCCGGCUUCGAUCGGGCGCACCGCCGCAGACCCUUCUUCUGGUGCCUCUUCUUCAGCAGCGGCAGCGCCAACUCCACCUUCCUGCUUCAGCGCUCCAGAUCGACCCUCGUGCAACGCCGCGCCGCCGCGCGCCGGACACCUCGCAGUCACGCACAGAGAAGGGGAGUGGGCGAUGGGUGAGAGGAAGCUAGACACAGAUAGCCGGCUCACUAUUGUUGGGCGAGGGAGAGUUGAGAAGGAGGUUGGAGCGAGGGAGAGCUGGGGAGUCGCGCCGUUGAGUCCUGGAGGGAGACGCGGGGAGUCAGGUGCGGGGACGGGGCGGGGCGAGGCGAAGGAGCGUUGUGGACGAUUGCUUUUGCUAUGUAUUAGUUGUAGAGAUUUGAUAAAUUUUAACUUCAAUUGGCUAAUAACUCAUAGCUGAAAGUACUCUUUACUGAUUUGUUAUGAGAGAAAAACACUAUUGAAUAGCUGGCAGAUUCGGCAGAUAAGCUUAAGCGAACAGACUUGAGUCGAUAGUCGUGCAUUUUUAGCAAUUUUGCAAACUUGUAGUCUUCUUUCUUGAGUGAUUUUCAUCAGUUUAGGAGAUUAAUGGCCGCAAGGACCAAUGCCCAGGGUGUAUGUGUGGAGAUCCCACAUAUAUAAAAUCAACAAGAGUUUGAUUAUCAAUAAAUAGCAUCACCUUCUGAGUAUAGGUUGCAGCGCUUCUCAGCAACUAUUCACUGAGAAAGUCAUAGCUGAAAUUACUAUUCGCUGAUUGUUGUAAGGUAAAACACUGCUUAAUGGCUAGCAGAUUUGGCAGAUAAACUCAAGCGAACAGGCACGUAAGUCAGGGGGUUCAUUCGCUUCUGCUUGAUAGUCAUUGCGGCAGUGGUAGUAGUUAUCACUAUAGUAGUAUCGAUGUCUGGACUAGCGGUCCUGACGCUAACAAGUAAAUUUGUGUCUGCGUGCCCAUUUACCCAGAUGGUGAUGCAAGAAGGACACGAGAUGUUUAUACUGGUUCAGGCCGGAUGUGCCCUACGUCUAGUGUGAUGAGGAGAUUCGUGUUAUCUUGCGCCUGAAGUGCUCGUAGUAGGGGUUAUAAGCUGGCUACAAGAGAGAGUACGUCGCAGGUCUCGACUUUGUGUGUUCUAGUGGGAUUGUCUAUGUGUGUGUUGUUCCCCCUUGAAUGGGACCCUGCCUCCCCUUUUAUAGUCUCAAGGGGAGACAGAGGUUACAUAUGUUAGUGCUAUGGUACCACGGCCUUAGUUCGAGGCAUGAGUUAAGGUAUGGCGUUAUGAAGUGACGGUGAGGUGCUUCAUUCUUGAUGCUGUAGUUGAUUGUGAUCGUGGUAUGGGUGCUCCCGUUGUUGUAGUGUUAGUGCGGAGCCAUGUCGGUUCAAGGGACAAGAUGUUUUGACCCUUGUUCAUUCUCCUAUGUUGAGUUCUAAGGCUCUUUCCCUUCGGUUUAGGGGGCUCUGUUGAAGUCGUGGCUACAACGGCUAGGAUUGACCCACCCAUUACCCCUGACGCGACUGUACGCAUAGUGACAGGGACAGGUGGCAUAGUUUCGGUCAUGUCCUGUACCGUGCGACGUGGGUGGGGACGUGUCUUGCAUCUUAUCCACCGUACUGUGGUGCUUGGCGUAUCUGAGAAGCCUCGAGCACUUCGUUGGGAGUGGGGCGCCCGAGGCUGGACUCGAGCGAGACAGAGAAUACCCAAGGCUUCGGUUAGACCUCGGGCGAGAUGAAAGUUGCACGAGGCUUGGCCUCGGGUGAGACGGACAUCGUCCUAUAAAAAUCUGAGGCUUAGUUUGGUUUUUAUUGGGGUGCCUUUCCACUGACCCAUUUGCCCUUAUUGUUAUUUAAUUUUGAAAAGAAGAUUAGGGUGCUCAUGACCUCAAUUUGAGUACCCUAGUUUAUGAUAUCCAAUAAGUAGAUAACAGUUUUUGGGUCAAAACCACGGCCAUAGUUAGCGUUAAAGUGCAUUUAAACAGACCACUAGUUUCUAUACCGAUGAAUGUUUUCUUCAAAAGUAACCUAAUUUCUAUAGUAUUACCAAGGCCAUAUUUGAUAUAACUUAUAAGCUGCCUAUUGUUACAAAAGGUUGAGAUUAAAACUAAACUGUAUGUAUUUUUAACGUUUUUUCUGACUAUAUUUUUCUCCAUGCACAACACUCUUUUGUACUAAAAAGUAGAAGCUGAGUCCGACCAAUUUAUUUGUAGCUACUCUUUUGCUUUAUUUGUACAGAUUCUCGUAGAAACAUUUUUUUUAUUGCUAUACCCAACAGUGCCUAAGAGCAUCUCCAACAGUUUUACAAUUUAUUUUUGACUAAACAUAGAGUUUGUUAAGUCUUAAAUUAAUAUAGUGAGAAGAAAAAAAGUUUACCUCCAAUGGUUUGACAAAAUUGACUUGGCAAAACCCAAAGUGUGGACCUAGCGAUUAUUUUUUCAGGCGAAAAUUUUCUUCGCGUCAUCAACUCGGUCGUGCGUCUUUCUUCGCGCGCUAUUCCUGGCGCCGCCGCCUUCCAGUUCCCAGUCGUGUGUGCACUUGAAGGAAGAGAAUAGAUCAAGGUGGAGAUUGCAUGCAGCCGCCAGGGCUUCUUGGAAUGCAGUUAGCGUACUAGAAGAUCAGGGCGACGGAGACGGCUUUAGCCAGGUCGGGCUAAAUCAGCUAGCCACCGGGGGUUGCUGUUGUUGUACUCUAUAGCGUCGUCGCCAUAUCCUCGUCCUGGACGAAAUCCAUGUUGCCGACGACUCCACCAAGCAGGCUUGCGCUGCGGAACCGAAAGAUCGCGGCCUCCAACUUUCCACGGGAAGAAAACGGCGGCGGCAGGGAAACCACACGUGGGGAAGGAAAACACGCAGGGUUAUACGAUGCCAAGCGCAAUACACGGUUGGCAUAUAUGCCAAACCUAGCCAGGAAUUUACCAAGUUAACAAAAAUGCAAAGCUCAUUUGCCAAACCAUUGAAUAUAAAUUUUUAAGACUUUUUUGCAAAAACAAAAAUAAAAAGCCGAUUUGCAAAAUCGUUAGAGAUGCUCUAAGGCCUUGUUCAGUUCUAGAAAAUUUUUGAUUUUGGCUACUAUAGCAUUUUCAUUUGUAUUUGAUAAAUUUUAUCUAAUCAUGGACUAACUAGGCUCAAAAGAUUUAUCUUAUAAAUUACAGGCAAAUAUGUAAUUAUAUUUUGUUUUCAUCUAUAUUUAAUGCUUCAUAUAUACGUCCAAAGAUUUAAUGUGACGGAAAAUCUGCAAAAGUUUUGGGAACUACCUAAGUCAGGCCUUGUUCAGUUUGGGAAAUUUUUUGGAUUUUGACACUGUAUCACUUUCGUUUUUAUUUGACAAACAUUGUCCAAUCAUGGAGUAACUAGACUCAAAAUAUUCAUCUCGCGAUUUACAGAUAAACUGUACAAUUAGUUUUUGGUUUCAUAUAUAUUUAACGCACCAUGCAUGUGCCGCAAGAUUCGAUGUGAUGGGGAAUCUUGAAAAUUUUUGGUAACUGCCUCAAUGGAUUCACUCGUAGUACUAUCUACAGUGCAGUCAGGAUGGUUGGGUUGUGCAUUGUAUGUUUGUUGUUAGUAAAAAAACAUUAACUAAAGAAAAAAAAAAGAGCUUGGUGAGAGGAGGUCAGUGAGUGAACCAAACUGUAGCUGUGUGAACAAGGCCUCAAACAAAGCCUCACCAGGCCCUCCUGCCCUCCAGUGGCUGGAGUGACAGGCGCGCGCCACCGGGCCUGGCAGCGCUCGUCGAGGCUGCGUUCCUUUCUAAACUGGGUUGCUGUGCCUUCGAUUACCGGUACGGCACUACUAGAGAGCGUGGACAAUAACGUGGUUUUUUUAAUUUUUAUUUAUUUACGUGAUGGCCAUGCACGAGAGCAGUCUAGGCACAGGAGGGCCCAUCACGCAAAAAAUCUCGUGCCUUCCUGUUUGGCCUUCUUUGUUGAAAAAAAAUUAUGGUUUUUCUCCCUCGACUAUCACAAAAGUUUUAUUUUUCUCCCUCAACUCUAAAAUCGGAUAAACCACCUCCCUCAAUUUUUUAAACCGUGUAUUUUAGCUCUCUAGAGUGGUUUAGAGUGGUUUCGAAGGAGGCUACAGUAAAGGGUGGUUUUGCAACAGUAAUGAUGGUUUUAUCUUUUUUUUAACUAUUUCAACUGAAUUUUCAAAAAUCAUAGUAAAUCACUAAAAAAUAUAUAAUAGAAAAUUUAAUUUUUUUUGGACUCCACAUAAGUAGAUCUACAUAAUAAACAUAUAAUAUGGUAUGUUUUAGUAUAAAGUUUUAGCUAUAAAGGGUUUGUCUUUUUAUUUUUAAUUUCUUUUGGCUAAAUAUUUGAAAAAUCAUAGUGAAUUACAGGAAAAAUAUAAAAUAGAAAAUAUAAUUUUGUUAGACUCUACAUGAGCAUAUUUACACAAUAAAUAUAUAAUGUGGUAUACUUUAGUAUAAAUUUUUUGUUGUACCUCUAGAUCUAUGCUUUUCUGUAAUUAAUUGAAAUAUUUCAUAGUUGUAGCUUUUGUAGUUAUUUUGUCGGACUAAAGCAUACAUAUAUUAUAUGUUUAUUGUGUAUAUAUACUCACGUGGACUCCAAAAAAUUAGAUUUUCUAUUUUUUAUGAUUUACUAUAAUUUUUCAAAGAUUAAGCCAAAUAAAUAAAAAAAGAAAAAAAUACUAAACCUUUAUAGCAAUAACUUUGUGUUAAAGUAUACCGUAUUAUAUGUUUACUGUAUAGAUCUACUUACGUGGAGUCUAAAAAAAUUAGAUUUUCAUUUUAUGAUUUACUAUGAUUUUUUAAAGAUUUAGCCGAAAUAAUUAAAAAGAAAAAAGACAAAACCAGCAUCACUGUAAGAAAACCACCAUUCACUAUAGCAAAACCGACUUCGAAACCGCUCCAGGGAGGUAAAAUAUACAGUUUGAAAAAGUUAAGGGAGGUGGUUUGUCCGGUUUUAAAGUUGAGGAAAAGCCGAAUUUUAUAAAAGUUGAGGGAGUCUCAAGUUACCGGCAAAAACCCAACAUCGACUGUACGCAUGCGCAGGCCAGCAGGACAGAGAACUCAAUGUGGCAUGCGUCGAUCACAGGCACCGCGCCUCACGGGCGGGUCCGUGAAGCCGCCUUGGCCAAGAAAGGUGCCAAGAAACAGAGGUGGUUGUGAGCAUCCACUGGUGUCAAGAACCCUGCUUGAAUUAGCAUUCUUAGGGGAUGUUUAAGACCGCUCCACGAACUCUGCUUCACAAACUGCAUUGUGGAGUAGCUCCACAAAAAACUGAAGUUUAUGGAGCAGCUCUUUAGAUGCUCUUACAACUCCACUCCUUUUUUUUUUGUUGAACUGGGUUCGUGGAACUGAAACCGUUUAGCUAAAAAAUAUGAAGCGGAGCUGAAAAAUGUGGAGCAGAGCAGUCCCAAACACCCCUUUAACUUCACAAAAAGUAAUUCUGGAGUGAUGCACUUUCAGGAUCAACACGAUGUCCAACCAAGCUUUGCGGCCGGGCAUUCAUAGACCAUGGCAGUAUGGCACUAUAUUCCCUUACCCGAUGUGAGAUCAUGUAAAUACAGCUUACGAACUGAUGAUAGAUAAUUAGCGAUUAGCCGAUUAUGAUCUCUGUUCGAGAUGUGAAAACUAGAAGAGUGCAGAACCAUCAGUAGUUUUAUACCUUUCCAAAGUUUGGGCAUGUAUAUAUCACUUCUCCAUCCAUUCAGAAGUACAACCAAGACGAAAAUGGUGACAGCACUUAGUUACAAGUUUUUGGAUUGCCUGGUGUAUACUCUGCACAAUGAAUUAAUCAUAAUGAAUUGGUGAAAAAAUGUUCAGACACCAAGAUAAACUGCUUAGGAAAAUUUUAUUUGAACACAAACCUUCCAUACAGGUAGGGCAGACAUCCUCAACUUCUGAAGCUAGACAGCUCAUAGCUGCUACUACAUAUAAACUUUUGCAGACAAAACUCCAAUAGUCGAUUCAGAACGAUGGACCUUAUAUUCAUCCUCAUUUUCAGUGUUGCAUCACUGAAUAAGAUUUUUUCAUAGUAUCACCAAAUUACUAAAUCUACGUUUGCAUGUAUGUUGAAGUAAAGAACAAAAAAAAGAGUUGGUGAGAGGGGUUAGUGAGUGAACCAGAACAACCACACGGGACUAAUCCCGCAUGGAAACCCAAGGAGAUGUACUAAUAGGCCUAUAAAUGAUGGACACUAGAGCCCAGCAUCUAGGAGGCCUCCAAAAUGCUGGGGAACCUAGGCCCGACCUAUCGCCGUUUCGGCGGCGAGCUCCACAGGCCAAUUGCCCGUGUCGAAGACACGGUUGAGCUCUGGCUCCAACUCACAACCCAGGCUGAGGCCCAAAUAUCAAUUCAUUCCAUUUCGAUUCAUGUUCCUCCCGCAGCUGGCCCAGCACUUUGUCACUGCACCAACUCUUUUGCCCUCCAGUGGCUGGAGUGACAGGCCCGCGCCACCGGACCUGGCGGCGCGCGCUCGCGCUGCGUUCCAUUUUAAGCUGGGUUGCUAAGCUUUCGAUUAGCGGUAUGGCACUAAAGGAGGGCGGAGAACCCCUGUUUGAACGCGGUUUUCUUUUCGUGAUGGUCAUGCAUGCACUCGAGAGCAGUCAGUCAGCAGGCAGAGGACGCAUGAGAGAUCCCGUGCUUUGCUGCAUGCAUGUUCGGCUUUCUCUGUUUUCUCCGGUUGAAGUCGUCUCAAGUCACACCGGCAGAAACAAAAAUUAAACCCACAAGUAUUAAAUAUAGACGAAAACAAAAACUAAUUGCACAGUUUAUCUAUAAAUCACGAGAUGAAUUUUUUGAGCCUAGUUAGUCCGUGAUUGAAUAAUGUUUGUCAAAUAAAAACAAAAAUACUAUAGUACCGAAAUCCGAAAUCUUUUCGAAACUAAACAAGGCCCAAAUUGCCAUUCCUUUAGUAUUCCGAUCCUUUCUUAUUGACUUUAAAUUAAUGCGAAACCAUCAGUUAUGGACCUUUCAAAAUUCGGGUGGUCAGUCACCGGCUGGGAUUUGCAUUUUCAGAGAUGGAUGAUUUGCAUGCGGAAGUACCAACCUGCACCUGCUAAUCUGCUAUACCAUACAAUCAUUAGUUACAAUGGUCUACUCCCUCCGUCUAAACAAAUUGUUGUUGUUGACUUUCAGACAUCUUGGUUGACCAUCCGUCUUAUUAAAUAAUUUUAUAUAAAUAUCAUCUAUUUUGAUAUGAUUUAUUUGAUCAUUAGAGAUACUUUAAUAAUCGUUCGCAUAAAAAGAUACUUUAAUAAUAAUGUGUUUAUUUUAUAAUUUAUACAAAAUCUUUGAAAAUAAGACGAUUGCAGUGGCGUAGCUAGGGGGGCUAGAAGGGGCCAAAGCCCCCUAUGGUCUACAACUUUUGUAUAUAUUCAUACUUUAACCACUAGUACAAGUAGUCAUUUUAAAGGAAAUAAGAUCUUCGAGGUCAUAUUUUCAUAUCUUUCCCUUGUCUUGGCCCUCCCCAAUUUGUUUCUCUGGCUCCGUCUCUGAACGAGUAGUCAAAUAUAAUGUCUUUUAAGUUGAAAACAUUAGUCAUUUUUUGGACAGAGGGAGUACACUAUGCACUCCGGCGCAAAUAUGAAAAAGAAAAAGAAUCUGGCCUUGUUUAGUUCCUAAAAAAAAUUGCAAAAUUUUUUAGAUUCUCCAUUACAUCGAAUCUUGCGAAGCAUGCAUGGAGCAUUAAAUAUAGAUAAAAAUAAAUAAAUAACUACACAAUUUAUCUGUAAUUUGUAAGACGAAUCUUUUAAACCUAGUUAGUCUAAGAUUAGACAAUAUUUAUCAAAUAUAAACUUACAUAUUUUGCAAAAAAAAAAUGAACUAGACAAGGUCUGAAAUUGCUUGGUAGGCGACUAUAGCGUGCAGUCUGUGUUCCGGAUCCUGUGUGAAUGGCAUAAGGUAUGUACUUAUGCAUAGAGGUGGUAGAGCCAUCAUCUAGGACGCAUGAACCAUGAACGAAAGCACAUAGUUAGAGGCUAGAGCUCGCCAAUUCACAAGCUUCUCUUUACCGAAACAAAACACCAUACGUCCCUGGAGGGACAGAAAUAAGCAAAAUGAAUAACGCCAUAGAUUUACCACAGGCAAAGUAGUCCGUUUGAUCGGAAUUCGAAAGGAUCUUGCAUUCCGAUCGACCACUGCGCACCACGUAAGGGCGCGUGCGGAGGCCUGGAGCGGCGCAACAUGCAUACUAUGCCAUAAUUUACAAGCGGGGUUCAUAUGCACACGUCAUAAUUUACAAGCCAUAUAUAUUGGCCGCGGAGCUAGAAACAUUCUUCCAUUGCGACUUGGAGUGACCAAAGCGGCCACAGCAUAGGCCCCAACAUAAUCAGCCAAUCAGCAGCGCUACCGUUAGAACGCGAUAUCUGUUCCAGCAGAAUUUUUGCAACAUUGAUAAGGAGAUUUGUGAACAUGCAAUAGCCAUAUAUGUUACUCGUAACUAGAGAAGGGCAGAGAUGACCAGUCUGAGUUAACUCUUACCUUUGUCUUUUAUGGUACGCAGGUCAGCUAGGUGACGCAUUGUUGGCCUCCCAUGCGGACAGUUCCAAGGGGACCUUAGUCCUGUCAGGUUUUUAAGUAUCUGAAAGUAGAAAAGCAAAACAAGGGCACGUCACUAGGUAGUUUUAAAACGAAUGUUUAUCUUUCAACAAGCAGACACACCUAUCAAAAGCUAAUUGAAUGUGUAAUUACCUUCUUCAUCUCGGCUUUUGUUAGUGGAUCACCUAUCAUAGUAGACAUUCGGCAAGCCCUAGAAGCCAACAUAGCACGAACCCUCGAAGGGCAAACAGAAUCGGUUGUAUCCAGCUUGUAGCUACUUAUUAUUGAACAGUCUCCUUGACUAUCAGCAAGCAUGGAGAUCAGCUCCUUCACAUCUAAAAUCAAGGGAGUUCAGAAUAGGACCAUGUUUGACAUGCACAAAAACAUAAUUUCUGACAUGAAAAUAACAAAUACCUUGAACACCAAAUGUAAUAUUUUUGCUGAAAGGCACAGCUUUCAAAAGAUAAUGGUUACCAGGGGAAGCAUGCAAAUCUUCUGCCAAAACAAAACCAUUUUUUCUGAAAAUUGAGAAAAUGGAAGAAAACAUUGUGAGGCAACAAGAGCUGUUGUUAAAUAUUGAAAACAUACAGUGUGUUUCUCAGUAUUAGUUAUAAGACAUUAAGGAAAAAGGCAUUGCAAAAAUCAAGAUGACCAAGUUGGCACACAGUUGAAGAUUACGUCAGGAAUGAAUUUGAUCGUUUCAAUAUUAAACAUAGGCAGCAAAACUUUUUUCUGGAAGCAAAACACAAAGAAAUGAUCAAUGAAUAACAAGAGUUAUACUACUUAUACCGUGUAUUCUCUUUUAAGCAAUUGAGAACAAUAAAAUAAGUACAGAUAACAAACUAUACAUGUUGUUUAUCUUAGUGGUGGAUGUGCUCAAUACGCUCAUUAGCAACGCAAGCAUCAAUGAUAUGCUCCAGCCCCUCCUCCCAUGAGGGUGACAGUCAGCGGGUCUCUAUUUAUGCUAAUGAUAUGGUUCUUACUUUUUCAUGGCCAAACAUGGACUUGGAAUUAAUCAAGGGGAUCCUUAAGUUAGUGAAGCAUCAGGUUUAGACAACAAUACUAGCAAGUUUUUUGUGAGCCCCAUACAGUGCCGAGAACAUGAUAGGGAAUUGGGGUAACCUUCCUUCCCUUGCAAGGUUCAAGAAAUUUCCUGUAAAUAUCUUGGACUACCAUUGUCAAUAAAAAAACUUCCCAAUGCUGAAUUCUAUGCGAUUGUUGACAGGAUUGCUGAUAACCUGUCUAGGUAGAAGGCAGCCAUGGUGCACCAGGCAAGGGAGGGCUACCCUUGUCCGCAGUGGCGAAGCUAGAGCUAUUUAGAGGGUGGUGCAUUUUUCUUGUAGAUGUAAAAAUAUAAGCAACAACCAUGGUGAAAAUUUAAUUUUAGUAGUGAUUUUUUAAAUUCUUGUGGGUGCAUUUGCACCCACAAGCUAUAACAUAGCUUCGCCACUGCUUGUCCGUUCAGUGCUUAUAUCCAUAGUCCAUACAUAUUUAUCAGCUAUUUGUCUUGGAGUUAACUAAAUGGGUUAUUAAGGCAAUCGAUAAGAUCAGGUGAGCCUUCAUGUGGAAAGGGUGCAAGGAGGUUAAUGGAGGCCAUUGCCUUGUUGCUUCGGACCAGGUCAAAAGGCCAACUGAUCUUGGAGGAUUAAGUAUUCUUGAGUUGAGUUGCUAGGCUGGGCACUGAAAACGAGAUAGCUAUGGCUAAAAAGGAUUCAACCUGAGCGUCCAUGGGCUAAUCUUCAUUCAAGGGAAAAUUGGAUCUAUGCCAUCAAAAGAACCUAUUGUUAGAUAUAUACCAUCAAAGAAUCCAGUUUAGAUAUGUACCAGCAAAAGGAUGGAGAUGCUAUAGAACCAUUCUGUUAACUUCCCUUACCAUGAUUGGCAGUUCUUUGUUUUUUUAUGGAUUUAGUAUAUGUAUAAAGUCCCAAUUUUGCCCUUUCAUGAAAACAACUAGUGGAUCUGUAUCAAGACGGGAUCACUGGAGACGGGAGGUCAAUCCACACGAAGUGGCCAGCAGCGCCUCUUCUCAGCAGCUUCUCUGGCAGCACGCUCCCCAGCAAUGUGAUUCCAGUUUCCAGGUAGCCCGCCACCUGCACCCGAGGCUCCGCACUCCCCUCCAUGGCUCCACUGGAGACUGAUCCACGCGAAGGAGCGACCGGUGCUGUAUCUCCUAAGAAGUGACAUAUUUUGAUGGUACGUAUCUAAACUGGAUUCUUUUGAUGGUAUAUAUCUAAAAAAAUGGUCCUUUUGAUGGUACAAAUCCAAUUUUACAAUCUCACUUGGUUGCAAUGUUCUCUCAGUCAUUUCGAUUGUCAGAGAUGGCAGCAGGAAAUUCUUUUGGCUUGACAAAUGGUUGCAUGGGAUUAUCCCUGUCAGUCCUUGCUCCGGCUUUUUGUAAGCAUGUGCAGAAGAGAGCAUUGAAGCAAAGAACAGUGCAGGAGGCACUAACUGAUGGUACUGGAUCCAGGACAUUAGAGGUGAUCUGUCAAUAGAGGCCUUGCUGGAAUACCUUCAGUUAUGGGAGAUUUUAUCUAUGGUUAAUCUCUCUGUUGGAGUUGAAUGAGGAACUGAGGAUCAACACACUUGGUCACCAAUGCCAUCAUCUUCCUCGAGAGAGAUCAUGACCAAGUCAGCCUAUUGUCACUUCUUGGGGGCUGUUGAUUUUGAACCAUGGAAGGAAAUUUGGAAAACCUGGGCAUGCCUGUUCUUAAGACAAGUGUGGUUAGUUGUGUUGUCCUUUGUUAGUCUGCCGUCUUUGCUGAAUGGUAGCGCUAAGCUAGGCAAAAAGUGGCUAAGCACAAGGGCCUCAACCCUAUAGUUGUGUUAGUCACUUAGUUACUUGGUGGAUUUAGAAACAUAGGAACAGCUGUGUUUUUGAGGGGGGGGGCUCACCUAGGCUUAAUGUCGUACAGAACAUUAAAGAUGAGGCCCAUUUAUGGUGUAUGGCUAUGGCAAGGGCCAAAGAUCUCAUGGGCAUUUGACCAUAGGAGUUGGGUAUGGCGUAUGGGCCAUUGGUUGUAGCUUUUAUUCUUUCUUGGCAACCCUUCUGUACUAGAAGCAACCUUAUUGGGCUUGUAUGAGUUUUCUUAGACUCCUUUUUCUCUCUUUCUUAAUAUAAUGAUGUGCAGAUCUCCUGCAUUUUUUAGGGGAAAAAACUAUACAUGGACGAUGUGAGUUGUGAGUUAUGGACAAAUAUUACAAGACAAACUACAAAAUAAUAAAUGUGAUGUUGUUUCAACAAGCAAAUGUACUUUUUUUUCUUUUCAGAUGUAACAAACAUCUAGUCACAUAAUCAACUGGAUAUCUUCAUAAAAGACGCAUACUCAACACUAUUUUGUUUGAUCUUAGAGUUAAUAGCGGACAAAUCAAAUUGAAGAAGUAAGACAAUUCAAUACCUGAUGGUGCUCAUGUUCAUAGAAACAAUUACUUCUUCCUCUGGUGAGAGAUCAAGUCUCAGUGGCCUGCAUUUAGAUAUACCCACAAAUACCCAACAGAAGUGAGGCAUAUGGCAAUUUUGGCUAAUGGUAUGGAAAAGUAUUUUGCCAACAUUAUGGAUCCAUACUUGGAAACAUUCAAAACACACAAAGUUUAGAGUUCAAUGCCUAGAAAUAGCAGGCAAAAAUAAUGGAUUCGUUUACUUACUGGAGAAGAGGCUGUAUGUUUAAAGUUGUAGACUGUGAAAGGCACUCAAAGUUGUACUUCUCAUCAGCAGCAUGCUAAUAACAAAAACAGAACUUCAAUCAAUGCAUCUUGCAAGUUGCAACUCGCAUUUGGGUUUGUAUGAUGGUGUUACAACAUUCCACGAAAAACUACAAUAAGCUACCUGAUCUACAAUAAACAGAUCCUGGUCGAGCUUUCCAAUGAUAAAACCAAGAUUAAAUUGCCCAACAACCUAACAGAUGAAAUAGUUAGUUCUACAAAAUAAUUGUAUAAAUUUCACGCAAUCAAUACUUUUAAAAAUUGAAUAUGUAUCAAGCAAAUAAAGUAAUAGGUUAUAAAUAUUCGAAUAAGAUGAGAGGAGGAUGGAUAAUUAUAUGUAUUGAACAGUCCCCAACGGGGAUAUAUGUAGUAUGUGGAACUCACCAAACCCUAGAUUAGAUCAAUGACCAUUUUACCCUUAACAGUAGUAAAAAGAAUCUUUUAGUUCUAGAAAUUCACUUUCCAGUUUUCUUGUAAGCUACUUUCCAAGUUUUCAAGAAUUUGGCAAUACUGAGUGGCAACUGUCAACGUGUCCAAAUUUGACACAGAAAAAAAAAUCAUCAACGUACUCCAACAUAUCUUGACAGUACAAUUUGAGGAGGUACUCCAACAUAUCUUGACAAUAUAAUUUGAGGAGGGACCUGCGGUGAGUUUACUAGUAUCGUGGGUGGUGGGUUAGCCAACCUGGGCUUCCUCCCUUCUACAAAAUCAUUGGAAGGAGUGUCUAUCCCUUUCAACCUCAUUUAAUAGUAUAAAAUCAUAGUUCUUAAGGCGUAAAGGUGAGGCAUGACAAUGCGCCACCGCCUGGACGCCUAGGCGCCCGCCUUGCCCGCCUAGGCGACCAUUUUGCAAGGCGCUGGGGGGGGGGGGGGGGGGGGGGUCGCAGGCGUCGCCUAGGCGACACCUUAAGAACACUGUAUCAAAUAACAUGGAACCUUAACAAAAAGGAGCACCAAUAUUAAAAUAUAUAUAUCAAGCACCUCCAUUUCUCCAAAAUCAUCUUUACUGAAAAGCCUGUCCAACUCAUUGGUGGCUGCAGCUAAUGAAUUUGAUUUUGCCUCGUCAGCUAAGGGUACAAUAAUAUCCAGUGUUGCAGCUUUAUAGCACCUACAUUAAGGAAAGUGAAACUAUACAUUACAAAAAUAAUAACACAAAUCCUGAUGAUAACAGAAGUUGUUUGUGGUAACAGCAAGAAUGUUACCUUGUUGUUUUCUCAAGACAAUAUGGUUUAUUUGUAUGGGAUACCAUAUAACCAUUCUUUCUUCUUCUCCUAAGCUCGGCAACUGUAAACUGAAUAAUGGGAUACUGUACAGGUGCAUAACAUACUACAGCACCAUCAUCAUAAUCCUGAGCAUCAGGCAAAGGACUAUCAGCCGAUGCAUUCUGAUGUCGUGAUUCUGAAUAUUUGUUAGGAGCACCAGACGCUGAAAAGCAUCGACCACGAUGUUCAUCCUGCAAGGGUUUGGCAGUUAAUCUUACAAAUAAAGUGAUAAAAAGAGUAAAAGACCCCCAAGAAAAACUAUGAGUUAGCUUCAUACUGAAUCAUAACAUAUCAAAUUAAGAAACUAUUCCAGAAGCCAUUCCUAUUAUUUACAUAACCAAAACCAAUAAGUGAGUUACAAAAUACCAAAAUUAGAUUGGUGAUGCCUAAUCAAUUUACAAACAAGAAAAUCACCAUGAACUCUAAAUGUAAGACCAGCAGGCAAAGCAUUUAACAAGAGAAGACUUAAGAAUAAAGGUGAGCAAGCAACAUAAGAACAGGAACACGUAUACUUUAUUGGCAGAAGUCCAAAUAUAAUUGAAGCCUCAAAAACUCUAUCUAAUAGCAAACAAUUUGCCUACCACAUCAGAUUCUGUAGUGUGAACAUCCCAUGGACCUGAUACCUCCGCCCCAAGGGUCACAAUACUAGGUUGUUUAGAAUGCUGUGGUGAAACAUCUGUCCUCACAGAUCCAAAAGAUUGUGGGAGAUGCUGUUUUAAAGAGUUUGUUUCCAGAGGUAAAUUGAACUCAGGAAUAUUGUUCGUGCUUGAGCUUAAUGAAGGUGCUGAAUUUGCUUCUAAACUUGCUCCCCUCACCUGUUCUGAGUUUGUCCCUCUUCUCAACACUGGGGUUUCGGAAAUAAAGGUGCUGUCAUCGUGCUUCUGCUUAUUUGGUGAUGCGAAGUCAACAUCUGAACUUGUUCUCCUGUCUAGUUCAGAGCACGUCCCACUUCUCAGCACUGGAGCUUCAGAAAUAAUGCAAUCAUCUUCACGGUUCUGCUUUUCUGGUGUAACAAAGUUUGAUUCUAAACUUGAUCUCCUCACUUGUUCUGAGCAUGUCCCUCUUCUCAGCACUGGAGUUUCAGAAAUAAGAGUGCAGUCGUCUUCAUGCUUCCGCUUGUUUAGUGAUACAAAGUUCAUAAGAGAAGACUGAAUGGUACUUGAAUGAGUAGAUUUUGCAGCAAGCCCAGUUCUGAAACGAUUUGUUCCCGAUGCAAAACUAUUUCCUUCUUUAGGCAAUCUUUUUGGCUGGUCAUAUGCAAAGGAUGGAAGCCAAGCAGAUGAUUUAUCAGCCUGAGUGGCUGUGCCUCUUGACAAGGGGCUUGCAUCUCUAGACGUUGCUUCAAUGGCUACCUUUGCCACUGAAGAAGGCAAUUUCUGGUUCUCUGGGGAAACAUGGUCCUCACUGUCUGUUUCUUCAUCUUCAUCAAUAUUGUUGGAAGCUGAAACAUUUGCCAUUGUGAUAGCAUUUGUGUCUUCAUUAUGCCCAUCAGUAACAGCAUCCCCUUCCUUUUCAGGAUCUUUGAUGUGAUUGACUGAGAAACUGCAUUGUAGAGGGGAGUACAGAUUUUCAACAGCUUCACGUAAAGACUGCAGAAUCAAGCUCUCGGACGAGAAGAAAACUUUUCUCUUAUCAGGUGCAACAUUCACAUCGUAGGAUGUAGUUGGAAUACGGAAAUCCAGGAUAACCACAGGAUAUUGCUUUGCAUUUGAACUUUUGUAUAGCUCGUUGACAAGUUUAGUGACCUUUGGCAUAUCAAUAGGUCUGCCAUUCACAUAGAAAAAUUGUCUAUCUCCUGAACUGCGGCCAGUACCAGGUCCAGGUUUUGAAAGAAAGCCCUCUAUUUGGCAGCCAUCCGAGGUGGUAACACUGAAGGGCUCCAGACAUUUGAAAGUAUUUGGACCAAAUACAGUAAUAAUAUUGUCUUUCAUAGAACUGCUUCCUUGAGUUCUAAGCACAACCAUUUUUGAAUUUUUUCCAACAGUAUUAGUGCAGAGUAAUCUGACCCCUUUGGCGAUCAAGGCAUAAGCCUAACACAGGUAAGAUGUAAGAAUUAGUAACAAAGCUAGGGGGCAGCUACCUUAAUCAUUUGGCAAGUUCCUCGGCAUCAAACAUACCAAAAAGAACUUACAAACUGAAACAUAAAAACUCACGUUCAACAGAGAGAUCACUUUCCCAUACUCCUUCCGAAUGUUCCUGCUAAACUCCUUGCUCCGGACCGGCAAGGUGGAGAACAAUUUUUCCACUGUCACCGUGGUUCCAACCUGCCGUGCCGUCUUCCUCUCACUAACCACCACGCCCGAGUGCUCAAACUCCAAAUGGGUCGCAACAGGCUCAUCCUUGCUCCUCGUCUCAACCGUCAGUUUCCCCAGCGCGCAGAGCGAGCUCAGAGCUUCACCCCGGAACCCGAAGGUCACCACAGAUCCGAGGUCGGAGAAAUCCGAUAUCUUCGACGUGUGGUGCUUAAGAGCGAGAGCCUAUUAAAGUGUCAGCAACAUGGUUAGCGACUAGCAAUUGGUGCCAACGUCUACAGCAGCGAAAUGGGGGGAAUUGGUGACUCCACGCAUUGGAGCAGCUACCGCCCUCACCUGGAAGUUAGAGGGAGAUAUGCCGCAUCCGUUGUCGACGACCUUGAACCACUCCUCGCCGUAGGCCUUGAGGCUGACCUCGACGGAGGUGGCGCCGGCGUCGAGGCUGUUCUCGACGAGCUCCUUGACGGCGGAGGAAAGGUCGAAGAUGACCUGGCCAGAGCAGAUGCGGUGCACCACCGCCUUACUGAUUGGCUUGAUCGCCGGCGAGGAUUCUCCGCGCCCGUCGCCUCCCCCUCCUCCUCCUCCCGCCAUUCCCCGCCUAAACCCUACGCCUCGCGGUGGAGGCUGGAGAGGAAGGGGGGUUUUCGGCGUCGCCUUCCUCUCGAACCCGCGCCACUGGGCAAAGGAAAUCCGCAAGCGGUUGGUUCGCCAAAGGAGUGGCGACACAUCUCCCUCGGUUGGGCCUUCAAGUGGGCUCGACCAAUCUCGGCCGCAAACCGGCCUUUUGUAUAAAGAAGUUUCAGGUCCACUUCUAUCCGUUACUCACAUCAUCCAAAAUAACUAUUGUUUUUAUUUCCCGAUAAAAUUUUUAAUUAAAUAUAUAUUAAAAAUAUUAAUACUAAUAGUACAUAAUUAAUAUCAUUAAAAAGUUUUUUUAAAACUAAUUUUUUAACAAAUUUAGUUGGAGAUAAAAACGUUGUACUUAUUUUUUAUAGAUCUCAUCAAACUUGUGACAUGAAAACAUAAAACGACAGUUAUUUUUGAGACGGAGAAAGUUCGUUUCAAAUUAUAUUAGGAGGAUUCCCCACAUGUUGCCGCGGGUAUGAAGAAAAAAUAUAAGUAGGUUAGAAUAUUAAUCACUAAGAAUCAGAAGAUGUGUAUGUAUGAUGUUGGUAAUGCAACAAUAUAUGUUAGUAAACGUUAUGGUUUGCUAAUAUGAAUAGUUUAAAUAAAGAUAUAAUGGUAUGUGAUAGUUUGAUGUGUUAGUGAAUGCUGAUGUGGACACUUUGUAUGGUGAGAUAGUUGAAUGUGCUAUGUGCUGGUAGAAUGUUCUAGUGGAUAUUAGUGUAGACACUUUGCAUGGCAAGAAAAAUAGCUAGUGGAAUUUAUCUUUAUAAGAGAUAUAGAUAGAUUGAACGUUUUGAAUUUUUUUAAUACAUUGUGUCUAAAUAUAUAGAAAAAUAUAUCUAAAAAACUAAAAUGUCUUAUAAUUUAAAAUAAAUUGAGUACUUAGGAUCCUCAUGUUAAAAAAAGAUAUGUUUACCUGUGCUUUUGAAAAACAGAAAUUUUGCAAAUGCCCGUACACAUAUAAUAUUUUAUAAGAAUCGGUUCAAAUUUUCAUGGAAGAUAUAGAUGGGAGGAUCUGCAAUCCAAAUGGGCACUAAAUUAGGGCCUUUUGCAGAACACACAAAAUUGUUCAAACAUAUUUUGAGUUAGCGCACGGAUGCUCACAUGUCUUACCAUUAUGAAUACAGGUAUACAAUACAAACUCUACUAUAGUAGAGCUUUAAGAGAUUGAGUAGGUAUUUGACAAGCAUAUGCAUAUCACCUACUACUACGGUGCUACAUAAUGAAUAUCAUUGUUCUUUCCGAAAAUAAGUCAACUUAAAUAAAGGUGCGGAAAACUUUAUCAAAAUAAAUAAUCUAACUAGAGCUACCCUUGUUUCAUAGCGGAUGUUUAUAUGCAUGCACAAUAAUCUCUAUAAACACAUAUAAACAAACACUUCCUCCAUUCCUAAGUAAAUCAACUUCAAGAGUUCUUUUAAGUUAAUCUUUUUUGUAUUAACUAAAUUUAUAGUAAAACACAAUAAUAGUGACACUAAAAUAGUAUAUUAUAAAAAUGUAGUCUAUGAUGUAUCUCAUAAUACUAAUCUAGUGUCAUAAAUGUUUACACUCCUUUUUAGAAACUCAAUUAAAGUUAAAGAAAAGUUUGACUUAUAAAUCAUUCUAGGAAUUGAUUUAUUAAAAAACAGAUCAUCCCUAGACUAUUGUUCAUGGUCAUAUUUCUGUUAUAACCGCUAUAUUGGUAGCACCGCUAGAUUAGACCCUAUUUGGAGUUUCUUCAUUGACUUCGGGAGCCGUUUUUCAUCAAAUAGGGUAAAAUAUAACGGCUUAAAGGUUCAAAGACUGAGAUGGAGCUGAAGUAAUGGCUUCACCUUGUUCUAAGGGCACUCACAAUGCAAGACUCUAUCACAGAGUCCAAGACAAUUAACUACAUAUUAUUUAUGGUAUUUUGCUGAUGUGGCAGCAUAUUUAUUGCAGAAAGAGAUAGAAAAAAUAAGACUCCAAGUCUUAUUUAGACUUCAAGUCCACAUUGUUCGAGAUACUAAAUAACUUUAGACUCUAUGAUAGAGUCUGCAUUGUGAGUGCCCUAAUGGAGCCCUACAUAGGAUCCCGUGAGAACAUUAAAGUUCUACAUGUGAAGUUCUUUUGUCAAAUGAUUUAUCAAAACAACUUUAGCUCUAACUAUAGAGCUAUUUAUAGAGUUGAAACAAAAAUAAAAGAUUUUACUAGUGAAGUGAAGCUAUGUCAAACGAGCAUAUGAUGUAGGCAUAUAGUGCUUCAGAGUGGCAGUAUGUCAAACGAGCAUAUGAUGUAGGCAUAUAGCGCUUCAGAGUGGCAGAUCUGAAGCGAGCUGAUUUAUAGUGUUUAUGACCGAUUAUCGACCCAGUACCUACUCACUAGAUUCACGUGCAUUUAGGUGUUGUUUAGUUUUCAUUUUUUUUUAAAUUUCUCGUUACACCAAAUCUUGUGGCACAUACAUGGAACAUUAAAUAUAGAUAAAAAAAUACUCCCUCCGUCCCUAAAAGCUGUAACUUAUAGAGUUGUCCUAAGUCAAACUUUUAAAACCAUGGAACAUUAAAUAUAGAUAAAAAAAUACUCCCUCCGUCCCUAAAAGCUGUAACUUAUAGAGUUGUCCUAAGUCAAACUUUUAAAACUUUGACCAAAUUUAUAGAGAAAAGCACUAAGAUUUAUAGUACCAAAUUAAUACCAUUAGAUUUAUCAUUGAAUAUAUUUUUAUAAGAUACUUAUUUUAUAUUAUACAUGUUGAUGCUUUUUUUAUAAAGUUAGUCAAAAUUAAAUAAGUUUGACUGACACGGAUUCUAGAAAUUGAAGCUUUCAGAGACAGAGGGAGUAACUAAUUAUAUAGUUCGUCCAUAAUUUACGAGACGAAUCUUCUGAACCUAAUAAAAGUGCUGCAAUACCUAAUACUAACAAAAUUUAUCAACUAAACAAGGCCUUACUUUUUGUACCAUUUUAUAUUUUUUUAAAAAAAUAAAAGACAAAGCAAAGUCAGCUUGAAAAUACUCAGUCACAGCCAAAAGAGCCCAAGAAAGAACCGACCAAUGCUACGUAGACAGUAGUACAGGCCAGUUGUGGUCCAUGUCGCCCGCAGGACGAAAGGCUUUUUUUUUUUUUUGAGACAACGAAAGGCUGAAAGCUGAAACCAUCCUGUUGCCCACCGGAUUAUCGUAGCGCGUCGUCCAGGGUCAAACCAAACUGCUGAGCGGGUAGAGCACAUGGGCACAAGGCCGACUUGGCCGCUACCGCGUCCCGUCCAAAGAACGGGGCGAACGUGACGAGUCCAAAGCACAGGACUCCGGCAACGGCCGCCGCCAGUCCACCCGUGCGGCACUGCGGCGUGCGGGGUGCGGCCCGAGCCGCGCGGGGCGUUCCCGCCCGGCGCUAUCUGUUUUGGAUUCGUUUGGACUGGGACGGUGGGCGCUGGCACGGUCCCGGGUUCACCGCCUGUGACCCGUGUUUGACCCCCGCCCCCACCCAAAUGUGACGUUCUCGCGUUGGUUUUGGGCUUCUUUGCAAUUCACAAAUCACACCUUCCUCGGCUGCUAAUUUAUGUAUAGCUCAUAGCCGCAAGAUGGCAUAAUAUUAAUAUUAAUAGGCUGCCCCCGGAUGGCCAUCGAUCUGGUUUUCCCCCUCAAAUUUCGGUUACUAAUAAAAAAACUCAACCAAUUGAUUAACAAAAGUUAUCAAGACCAAGCAAAUUUUGUAUUCGGUUAGUUCGGCCAGGAACCAUGCAACAAGAAAAAAAAAGGAAACUCGAUAAGUGGCAUCACCGCUCGAUCAACACGUCUCUACAUGACAUAUUUGUUUUGUAGAGAAAUAUUGUUAUUGCUGAAGAAGCCGACCAGGUGUUCACCACGACACCAUCUAACCACCAUGCCCAUGGAAGUCGGUGACAUGCACUGAUAGACUAGAUAAGGAAGGAGCUCGCGACACCACAACCUCUUCGGUAGACAACCCACGUUGAUCGUGGUAGAGUGAGUCGAAGAUUAGAGGAGGUGCCACCAUCACCGUUGGAGAGGCAUAUCGCGAGAAAAAGGUGCUCCAACUCUAAGUGGGGGGAGAAUAUAGGUUGGAAUGGGUAUUGCUACCACUACUAGAGAGGUAUCGCUAGAAGGGGCAAUGCUGACCAAACUUGAGUGCAAAGAGUGUAGAAAUAAACAUAACCGCCGCCGCUUCCUAGGUUUUUGGGGUUAGGUGUACGAAUGAAAUGGAAAGUUGUGAGUGACAUUAGAAGGCUUGUAAAGGGAGGGGUGAGUUUAUUCGAUCAACAGAGAAGAAGAGUUACAUAUAGCUAGGACCAAUGCUCAUUUAUGUGCUUCUUUCUUAUAAUCUCAUAUUCUUCGUUUGGUUCGGUUAACUAAGGUAUAAAACCAAAUUAACUAAUAGAAAUUUGGUUAUCUAAUAUUCAAGAUUGAAAUACAAUACAAAUUAUGAUUGUAGUCUCGCCUUUUUCCACUUCUAAGGAAGGCAACUACCUUUUAUUUAUAUUAGAAAACAGUCAUAACACUCAUAUCCGAUCAUUAGAUUAAAUAACUUCAGUUGAAUCAUAUCAUUGAUUAAUUUGUAUACCUACUUCAACAACAUAGUCUAUUAAAAUUUAAGACUCGUUUACUACAACUAGUUUUGGUCUACUACAAAACAAUAAUGGCUCUUUGUUUGGUCAUAAGGAAAGAUGAAGAAAAAAAAGAAGAGAAUUAUUGUGUGACUCAUCAUGUGUUUGGAGGAACGAGCAAUCCCACCUGUGUCUAUCCCCACCUCCCAUCGCUGCUUGUGCCGGUGGCGCUCAACUGCCUUGUCGCCCUGCUUGCUGUUCGCCACUCAUCGUCAGACCAACUUGCCGACUCAUUUUUAGGGUUUAGAGUUGAGGAAGAGUUCUAAACCCUAACCCGCCUCUAGUGAGGCGGAGGUGCAGGUGCCAACGCGACCGUUGUGUGGUGUCGCAAACCCAUAAUAACCGCGCUUUAGGCCCUGUUUAGUUCCUCACCAAAAAAAUUUUCAUCCAUCCCAUCGAAUCUUUGGACACAUGCAUGAAACAUUAAAUGUAGAUAAACAAAUAAACUAAUUACACAGUUUGGUUGAAAAUCGCGAGACGAAUCUUUUAAGACUAGUUAGUCCAUGAUUAGCCUUAAGUGCUACAGUAACCUACAUGUGCUAAUGACAGAUUAAUUAUACUUAAUAGAUUUGUCUUGCAGUUUUCAAACGAGCUAUGUAAUUUGUUUUUUUAUUAGUUUCUAAAAACCUCUCCAACAUGCUUCCGACAUAUCCGAUGUGACAUCAAAAAAUUUUCAUCCUCAAUCUAAACAGAGCCUUAGAGCUUGGGAAAGAAAAAAAAAUGAAAUAGUUUUUUUAAUUACAAAACGCAACAUGUGAAAGGAAUCGUACCACGUGUGGAUACUAAGCGAAUUCUAACAUAUGUGAAGGACUAAAAACGAACGACGCUCUGGUAUAUAAGAAGAGCCAGACAUACUUUCCCUCAUCAAAGCCGGGAAGAGAAAAAUAACUCCGAAAAGAAAGAGACGCCGAAAAUUCGAAGGGGAAGGGGAAAGCAAAGCAAAUGGCGGAGGCCGAGGGAAAAGCAAAGCAAAUGGCGGAGGGCCCGAGCAAGAUCGAAUCCAUGAGGAAGUGGGUCGUCGACCACAAGCUCCGAGCCGUAGGUAUGCCUCAUCAGCUUUCCCACGGAUUCGUUUUCUUCGCCCGGAUCUAGUUAUUCGGCGUUGGUUUCUGAUGUAUCCUAAAUCUCUGCAAUUUCUUUCUUACAUCUGUUUUUAAUGUUAUUAACGGAGUUUCGAAAUUUGUAGUAUGAAAAUCUAUCACGAAUUUAUGACCUAGUUAUUGUUUUCCUCGUGUAAUUUGGGGGAAAAGCAGUAUUUUAGAUUAUUCCACCUGCUGGAUGCAAAGUGUUCUGAUUGUCGCGAUGUUUCUUUUUCUUGAGAAAAGGUUGCCUCUGGCUAGGUGGGAUCAGCAGUUCGAUCGCCUACAACUGGUCGCGGCCCAAUAUGAAGACUAGCGUCAAGAUCAUCCACGCAAGGUUUGUUUCAUUUCCCAUGUAGUUUCACUACGUUUCUGAGUGUUUAUCAUUACAAUGUAGGCAGUCUUGUCUAUCAUAGGCAAGAUACUGCAUUCGAUUCUUUUUUUUUCUUGAUGAAGAUGCAAUUAACUAGAUGGUUUUGACCAUUUCUUAGCAAACUAUGGUUUCUAAAUGCUACAACUACCACAGCUAAAAAGGUUGGUUUUUCAUAUGUGUGAUGUGUGAACGAUUGUUUCCUGAAACGCCAAGGAGCUAAAUGUGAAUUAUGAACAGACCCAGUCAACUUAGAUUUUAGCUAUAUCUAUAUGAAGCUUGGGAAGACUUCCCUUAUGUGAGUUUAUGGAAAUUCCUGUAAGGAAAUAACUUAAUAUGCAUAUUCAGCUUUGUAAUUGCUAACAUAUCAGCCACAGUUGGUUGGUAGGGCUUAUUUAACAUCAGAGGGAAAGGAUAACGAUCAGGCAAAUUUUGGAUUUCUCUUACUGACUGCAGGAAAAUUGCUAUUUUUAUUUGUUGUAAUUGUUUCCAAGUGAUUCUAAAAUAGGUGGUGUUCGGCAUAAUUGCAGUGCAUGGGUUUAUAAGGCUGCACAGUUGUUUGUUCUGUGAAAGGUUUAGUUUCACAGUUUUUGUUCAGGUUUGGGUGUCAGACUGAUAGCAUUAUGCUAUUUUGUUCAAGGAGCAGUUUAACUCCAGAUCAUUCUGGAUGGAAGUUAAACUUUAGGAGCUUAUUUUUUUGAAACAAAACUUUAUGAGCUUAUUAGUUGUUGUGCACUUGCACUUGAUGAUCCACUUAUUUUUGUUAGGUAUACAGACUUUAUGUGUUCCUUUCUGUUGUUAGUAAUUUAUUAGGUUCUUGCUAGUUUGCUGGUAUUUGCUUGAUACAAGUGCAGGCUGUAUAAGUGGUACUUUAGGCAACCUCUUGUCACUUGUAAAGUUGGAAGAGUAUCAAGCUCUGUCUGUUUAUCUGCGCACCUCAAUGCAUUUGCUUAUGCUCAUCGACCACCCAGCCUAGAAAGAACCUCAGCAAAUAGCGCCGUCCGAUCCUUAAUGAGAAUGAGUGUCCUACUUUAGGUUCGAAUAUUCUUUACCUAUAAAACUGCACUCUUUAGCUGCCAAUCCUAAUUGUUAAUUGGAGCUGAACAUGUGUUUGGCACUUUGUCUGUGUGUGCACUAUGGUCACAUCACCAAACUCAGCACAUGUUUGAUAUGUCUCUACUCCUGCCAACAUUAAGCAGAUGUUGCACGUUUUUGUGCCAUAUGUGACCAAACCAGACUGCCGCCAUAUUGAUGGCCCCAGUUUUUGGCAAUUUUUGUAGGGCUCUGGUGAUGAAAUUGGUGGAUCAAAAUGCCAAAUUUAAUUUCUAAUAUGUGGAUCUUCAAUGUUUUUCCAACUUUGCAAGCUUAGUUACCACAGUUUUAGUCCGUUGAUGCAUAGAACUGCAUAGGAAAGAUCAAAUCCUUGAUAAUCUUUCUUCUUUCACCGUGGCUCUUGAAAAGGGGCAGCAAUCUUGCCCCCAAUGCAGUAUGCAAAAAGGAUAUUUAAAUAAACAUAGAUUUUUUUGGAUAGAAUAUUAUGGACUCUUUAGAAGCUUUCUGUUCAUUUUGAUAGUUGUGUUUGGGUCUUAGCUCUUCAUAUGUUCAUGUAACACGUGUCAUCUUUCACUAUUUAUUUGCCUCUUAGGCUCCUUUUUAGUGCAAAUAUGUGAUGUAAUUCAUUGUGCUUUCUUCAUUGGCACUUCUUACCUUUCACUGUGCUCAAUAGAUCUGUUUAGAACAUGUUGAGGAUUUUAAAAAGAUAGUUUGCAUGUAAAUUUGGUACAAGCAUCCAACAGCAAAUUUGUAUGCUACUUUCUCCAUCCACAAAUAGAUGCAAUUCUCACAUUUCGAGGAGUCAAACGAUUUAAAGUUUGACCUAAUUAUAUAAAAAAGUACUAAUAUUUAUGACACAAAAGAAGUACCAUUAAAUUAACAAGAAAUGUAUUUUCGUUGUAGACCUUGCUAGAGACUAUUCACUUUUGACUAAUCCCAUAGUUGUAUCCUUUUGUGGACGGAGGGAGUAUUUGUUUUUUAGAUUACUGUUGCCUUGAGUGGGAAACCAUCCAAAGGCUGGAUGAAUGCCCGGAGCACCCAUUGCUGCCCAUAGGACAUAGCCAUUUCAUGUAUUGUGGUCGUGGAGUAUAGAAAUGGUAGCUCUUUUAGUAAAUUUUACUUCUAACUGGACUCAAUUAUGCUAAUUAUACUGUUGAUUUUUGCAGGUUGCAUGCACAAGGUCUAACCCUAGCUGCAUUAGUUGGUUCUGCAUGCGUGGAGUACUAUGACAAUAAGUAUGGUUCUUCUGGGCCAAAGGUGGACAAAUACACAAGCCAAUACCUGGCCCAUGCGCAUAAAGAUUAAGAUCUCCAUGUUGGUUCCUGCAUACCGGAUUAAUUUUGGACUCAACUCUGGGUGCUCAUGACCCGCCCGUCGAUGCUGGAUGUUUAUUCUUUUUGUUGUCUUAUUAAUUACAAAUUGAUGGUGUACUUACCAGGGAAAUGAUAAUGAGGGUAUAAUGCAGAUAUUGUCGUAUCUAACCUCACUUUGUUGACUCUCAGCAUCUUUGAAUAUUUUUAUAUUUUUUGAGAAAAGGAAAGGAGAUCCUGAUUUGUGCCUGAAUUUUGAAUUCUCUGUGCCCUGUAACUUUUGUUCUCUGUUCCUGUGCUUUAUGAUUACAAGGCAAAUGCAAAAAAGUUUUUAAGUUGAUAAUGUGGAGAUCGUGGAUUUGUAUGAUUAGGAUAUCAGAAUAGGAUUGUCUUGAACUUAUCAGCACAAUCUAUCAGUUUCUAUUUGCUUGAACUUAUCAGCACAAUCUAUUAGGUUGAUCGCACAAAAAAAAGGACAAUCUAUCAGGUAUAAUAUAAUGUUUUUUCUCCCAACAAAUAAGCCGAAUAAACACUAAUUGUUGUGUCACACUGAAUUUGUGUUGUCGCUUCACGUCUCUUGGAUCAAAGAUGCCCUUUUUAUGAAUCGACACGUCUCUUGGACAAAGAUGCCUUUUAUGAAUCAACGUACACAACGUAGACGGCAAUAGGCUGAUGUUGAUUUGACUUGAAAAUAAGUCCAUAAAAUCAUGCAACGCAAUUGUUCUUCUACACUCAGCCUCACAAUUGACAAGUUUUUACUUUACCCUGAAAAAUUAGUUCUCAAAUAUGUGAACUGAUACGUACACAGUGUAUUUAGGCCAUGUUUGAUUAGACUUGAUUUUUUUAUCACCCCAUCACAUCAAAUAUUUUGACACGUGCAUAAAGUACUAAAUAUAUAUUAUUUGCAAAAUUAAAACAACAGCUAGAGGAUAAUUUGCGAAUCUUUUGAGCCCAAUUAGUUCAUAAUUAGACAAUAAUUGUCAAAUAAAACGAAAUGCUACAGUGCCUGUCAAAUUUUAUCACUCCAAUCAAACACCCCCUUAUUUUCAUGGGAGACACAUUGGAUGAGCUAGAGUUUCACAAAUUAUGUCACCAAGGUGGCAAGGUCUAAUUGGCCUAUGUGUAUCCUCUUAAAAUUUGCAUGCCAGUAGCUCUUAACAUCUGUUAGCAGCUUUCACCUUACUGAUAGGUGCUAAUACGAUAAUAGGUAGCACACCUUAGCAGAUGACUUUUGAUACAAGGCUUAGAUGCGAGCUAUUGGCACAUUAGAUCCGAAUAUGACCUAAGCUAUGUUACUCUUCUUUAGAUAACGUGUUAGUGCAAAGUUUGGAGAACUUUUCACUUAAAUGGGCAAGUGCCACAUGCUUCAGAGAGCUUUCUGAUUUUAGAUGAGCUAGGGAUGGUAGACCUACGUAAACCCUAGAAGAUCAUUUGGUGGUGGCAUACUUAGUUCCAUCACUAGGGGCCAAUUUGUUUCUAUGGGAACAGGGACUAGAGACUUUAGUCCCUUCGAACCAAACAGGAGGAACUAAAAUAGAAACUAGAGACUAAUGGGUAGAAGUCCCUUGAGGUGAGGUUUAUUGGGACUUAUGAGACCAACUUUACAUCCCAUACCCCUCCCUCUCUCUCUCUCUCUCUCUCUCUCUCUCUCUCUCUCUCUCUCUCUCUCUCUCUCUCUCUCUCUCUCUCUCUCUCCUUCCUCACAGUCUCUCUCCUCCCCCACCCGAUGCGUCGCCCACCCCACGCCGCCCGAUGUGCCGCGCCCGCCCCACGCUGGCUGGGCCUCCCACCUUGCCAGUGCCGCACCCCACACUGGCCGAUGGCACAGAGCAAAGCCGAGCAGAGUGAAGGCAACGAUAACCUCGGCGCUCUAGCAACGCAGUGAUAGCAGAGAAGGGCGAGGAGGAGAGAGCAGGGGCGCAGGGCGGUGCUUGGCUCCGACGGACUCAAGGUCCGAGGAUGGCAGCGACGGUGAGGCAUUCGGCACCGGCGAACUAGAGGAAGGAGAGAGAAAGAGAAUAGAAGGGAGGGGCGUUUUGGUCUUUGUUCAGCAGCUUUAAUGCCCUUUAGUCCCUUUUAGUCUCUAGAACCAAACAAGUUAUUUAGUCCCUCUUUAGUCCUCUUUUAGUCUCUAGUCCCUAGUCCUUGGAACCAAACAAGCCCUAAUUAUAUGCAUCUAAAAUUCUAAAUGCCACAUGCUUGAGAGAACUUCUGAUUUUAGAUGAGCUAGGGAUGGGAGACCUAUGUAAACCCUAGAAGAUCAUCUGGUGGUGGCAUACUUAGUUCCAUCACUAGGGGCCAAUUUGUUUCUAUGGGAACAGGGACUAGAGACUUUAGUCCCUUUGAACCAAACAUGAGGGACUAAAAUAGAAACUAGAGACUAAUGAGUAGAAGUCCCUUGAGGUGAGGUUUAUUGGGACUUAUGAGACCAAAUUUACAGCCCAUACCCCUCCCUCUCCUCCCUCAAAGUCUCUCUCCUCCCCCACCUGAUGCGUCGCCCACUCCACGCCGCCCGAUGUGCUGCGCCCGCCCCACGCCGGUUGGGCCUCCCACCUCGCCAGCGCCGCACCCCACACUAGCCGAUGGCACAGAGCAAAGCUGAGCAGAGUGAGGGCGACAAUAACCUCGGCGCUCCGGCAACACGGUGACAGCAGAGAAGGGCAAGACAGAGAGAGCAGGGGCGCAGGGUGGUGCUUGGCUCUAACAGACUCAAAGGCCGAGGAUGACAGCGGCGGUGAGGGAUUCAGCACCAGCAAACCAGAGGAAGGAGAGAGAGAAAGAGAAUAGAAGGGAGGGGUGUUUUGGUCUUUGUUCAACAACUUUAAUGCCCUUUAGUCCCUUUUAGUCUCUAGAACCAAACAAGUUAUUUAGUCCCUCUUUUAGUCUUUAGUCCCUAGUCCUUGGAACCAAACAAGCCCUAAUUAUAUGCAUCUAAAAUUCUAAAGAUCACCUCCUUUCGCCCGUGCUAGUAAAUUGUUCUGUUCUUUGCACAUAAUCGCAAAAUGUUGAUAUGCAAAAUCUUCUUUUUCUAGUGUAGAGAUGAUGCACAUCCUUCUUUACCGGACCCUUAUCUAUCUUAUGUAUCUUCAAUGAAUAUAUAUCACAUCGUAGAUAUGGUUCAACGAUGAGUCAAGUCAAGUUGAGCUAUUUUUUUCUACGAUGACUUUAGUUAUCGCCGUGAUGAGAUCGUUGUUACAGGCAUCAACUUCAUCAACAAACGGCCAAAUCAUGGCCUUUAUUUGAAAGGGGAGGGGUGCUUCUGGGAGCCCCCUACAAGGACAACGACUAUGGAUCCUCGAUCUCAUCAUUGAUGGUCGCAGAGAGGAUUUCAAGCUAUUUGAGGUGAUGAAUCUGCAUCCUAUGUCGUAUCUGACGAUGCAACUGCUGAUAUUCUUUCGGCGAUUUAGAUACAUUUUGGAUUGGUUCCAAAGUGGUGAAUCUUACGGUAUGUCCAAUGUUUGGAGUUGGUCGUUGGAUUCGACAUAAGGACUACACUUUGGCUCAAACGUUUGAGGGAAGUCAUUGAGAAGAAAAUAAAGAAAGAAUCUGGAUAAAAUAUUAUGUAUUUUUUAUUUUAGUUUUUUUAUGUGUAAUUUGGGGAUAUACUAUACCAAGAAUUACUACAAGUCCCUCUCCCCUUGGGAAAAAAAUGAGCACAAGAUAGACAUACCCAAUGGAACUUAAGAUUGACAAAUCCAUAUAAUUCACCAUGUUGUAGUUGUAAAAAUGACCAGUCAUAUUAUUAUAAGAGUAAAAUGCACACCUAAGUCCUCAGACUUUGUGGGGGCAUUUCUAUCUAUGUCUUCAAACUAAAAAAAAUCUAUUUAGGUCUCCGAUCUAUUGCAGCCGUGCAGCAAAGCAAAGGUCCAAAACUCACUAUGUGAGUACCCGAUGAGAAUACCUUGAAAGUUUAAUGACCCCUGUGUAUUUUAGUUCUUAUUAUAAGGCCUUGUUGAGUUCACCCAAAAAUAAAUAAAAUUUUAAGAUUCCACGUCACAUCGAAUCUUAUGGCACAUGCAUGAAGCAUUAAAUAUAGACGAAAACAAAACUAAUUGCAUAGUUUGCCUGUAAAUCGCGAGAUGAAAUCUUUUAAGGCUAUUUAGUCCAUGAUUGAACAAUAAUUGACAAAUAAAAACGAAAGUACCAUAAUACCUAAAACCAAAAAAAAAUGGAACUGGCCUAACUCGAUGAACCCAGAUGAGAUGGUUUUGGUCACGUUCUGACAGCUCGAGAGGAAUAUUGUUGGAUGUCUUUGGCCCUGUUUGGUUGCUUUUGUUUCUUUUUAACUACCAUCAUAUUAAAUGUUUGAACACAUGCAUGAAGUACUAAAUAUAGACUAUUUAUAAAACUAAAAAUAAAAUUAGAAAAUAAUUUAUGAGACAAAUCUUUUAAACCUAAUUAAUCUAUAAUUAAACACUAAUUGUCAAACAAAAUAAAAAAUACUACAUUCUCUAUUAAAUUUUAAUACCCAACCAAACAUCUCCGGUUGUUCGAGAAGUUUCAGUAUAUAUACUGUCUUCCUUAUUUAUAGUUAGAGAUAGAAGCAGGUUAACCUACGAGCCUAUACAAAUUUAAUAGCACUUAUAAUUAAUUUUUUAAGUGGAGGGAUGAGCUAACACCCUCUUGCUUCAUUAUUUGUAUAAACUUCUUGUGAAAGAUUUGUACUCCCUCCGUCCACGAAAGAAUCAAUUCCUAGGAUCCGUGGCAGUCAAACUUUUUAAAGUUUGACUAACUUUAUAGAAAAGAGUAACAACAUCUAUAAUAUAAAAUGCACAUUAUAUGAAAAUAUAUUCUAUGAUGAAUCUAAUAAUACUAAUUUGAUACUAUAAAUCUUAGCAUUUUUUUCUAGAAAUUUGGUCAAAGUUUAAAAAAUUUGACUUAGAACAACUCUAGAAAUUGACUCUUUCGUGCACGGACGGAGUACCAUUUUCAUGUGCCUUGCCUCCGUCCGAUGCUCGAGGCGCUACGAUGACCUCCAUAGAACCUGACAGGCGGGCCCGUCACAUUCACCUGGCGCAUCCCCCUCCUGGAACCUUUCCCGCCUUCCCGGGAGGCGGCGGCUCGUUGUAGGAUGCCACGCCCACACCGAUGCGGACUCCGGGAACCAUCGGUUCGGCCCUCGCCCGCUUCGGCGCGUCGCGGUCGCUGCUCGCCGGAGCCCACCUCCACUCCCACCUCCUCAAGUCCGGCCUUCUCGCCAGCUACAGCAACCACCUCCUCUCUUUCUACUCCAGAUGCCGCCUCCCGAGCGCCGCACGCGCGGUGUUCGACGAAAUCCCUGACCCGUGCCACGUCUCUUGGUCCUCGCUCGUCACCGCCUACUCCAACAACGGCAUGCCGCGGGACGCACUCUGGGCGUUUCGGUCCAUGCGCGGGCGUGGCGUCCCUUGCAACGAGUACGCGCUCCCCAUCGUGCUCAAGUGUGCACCGGAUGUCAGGUUCGGCGCGCAGGUGCACGCACUGGCUGUGGCCACGAGGCUCAUCCAGGACGUCUUCGUCACCAACGCACUUGUGGCCAUGUAUGGUGGGUUCGGCAUGGUGGAUGAGGCCAAGAGGAUGUUCGAUGAGCCUGGAGGCGAGAGGAACGCCGUUUCUUGGAACGGCAUGAUAUCGGCGUACGUCAAGAAUGACCGGUGCAGGGAUGCCGUCGGGGUGUUCCGAGAAAUGGUGUGGAGUGGGGAGCGGCCGAACGAGUUUGGGUUCUCGUGUGUAGUGAACGCGUGCACAGGAUCGAGGGAUUGGGAGACUGGGAGGCAGGUGCACGGCAUGGUGGUGAGGACGGGAUAUGACAAGGAUGUGUUCACAGCAAAUGCUCUGGUUGACAUGUACUCGAAGCUGGGAGACAUUGAAAUGGCAGCGGUGGUUUUUGAGAAGAUACCUGCAGCAGACGUUGUCUCAUGGAAUGCUCUCAUUGCUGGGUGUGUAACUCAUGGGCAUGAUCACCGUGCACUGGAGCUGCUACUACAGAUGAAGCCUUUAGGAGUGGUGCCCAAUGUGUUCACGUUAUCUAGUGUUCUCAAGGCUUGUGCUGGUGCUGGUGCAUUCAAUUUGGGCCGGCAAAUCCAUGGGUUUAUGAUCAAGGCUGAUGCAGAUUCUGAUGAGUUUGUUGCUGUUGGCCUUGUUGACAUGUACGCAAAGGAUGGAUUCUUGGAUGACGCGAGGAAGGUGUUUGAUUUCAUGCCCCGAAGGGAUUUGAUUUUAUGGAAUGCACUGAUCUCAGGCUGCUCUCAUGACGGACGGCAUGGUGAGGUUCUGUCACUCUUUCAUAGGAUGAGGAAGGAGGGGCUUGACCUUGAUGUCAAUAGGACGACACUGGCUGCUGUUCUCAAGUCAACGGCGAGCUUGGAAGCAAUCUGUCACACAAAACAGGUUCAUGCUCUUGCAGAGAAGAUAGGGCUCCUAUCUGACUCUCAUGUCGUCAAUGGACUUAUUGAUUCAUACUGGAAGUGUGGUCGACUCGAUUAUGCGAUUAAGGUUUUUGAAGAAAGCUGUUCUGAUGACAUUAUAUCUUCUACGUCCAUGAUGACAGCUCUCUCACAGUGCGACCAUGGUGAGGAUGCAAUAAAGCUGUUUGUGCAGAUGUUAAGAAAAGGCCUCGAACCUGAUUCUUUUGUACUAAGUAGCCUCCUGAAUGCUUGUGCUAGUCUGUCAGCCUAUGAACAAGGGAAGCAAGUGCAUGCUCAUCUGAUUAAGAGGCAGUUCACAUCAGAUGUGUUUGCAGGGAAUGCUCUUGUGUACACUUAUGCAAAGUGUGGGAGCAUAGAGGAUGCAGACAUGGCAUUCUCUGGCCUGCCGGAGAAGGGAGUUGUCUCAUGGUCUGCAAUGAUUGGAGGGCUUGCACAGCAUGGACAUGGGAAGAGAGCAUUGGAAUUGUUCCAUAGAAUGCUCGAUGAGGGCGUUGCCCCAAACAACAUCACAUUGACCAGUGUUCUCUCUGCUUGUAACCAUGCUGGGCUUGUUGAUGACGCAAAGAAAUACUUUGAAUCUAUGAAGGAGGCGUUUGGAAUUGACAGGACUGAGGAACAUUACGCAUGCAUGAUUGAUAUUCUUGGCCGUGCAGGGAAACUAAAGGAUGCUAUGGAGCUUGUCAACAACAUGCCAUUCCAAGCGAAUGCUGCAGUUUGGGGUGCACUUCUAGGAGCCUCAAGAGUACACCGAGAUCCAGAGCUGGGAAGGAUGGCAGCUGAGAAGCUCUUCACCCUAGAACCUGAGAAGUCUGGCACACAUGUCCUGCUUGCAAACACUUAUGCUUCAGCAGGCAUGUGGGAUGAAAUGGCUAAGGUGCGGAAGUUAAUGAAAGACAGUAAUGUCAAGAAGGAGCCUGCCAUGAGCUGGGUUGAGAUAAAGGACAAGGUGCAUACUUUCAUUGUUGGUGACAAGAGCCAUCCUAGGACAAGAGAGAUAUAUGGAAAGCUAGCCGAAUUGGGAGAUCUGAUGAAUAAAGCUGGUUAUGUUCCAAAUGUGGAGGUUGAUCUGCAUGACGUAGACAGAAGCCAAAAGGAGCUGCUUCUUUCUCACCAUAGUGAGAGGCUGGCCGUUGCGUUUGCGCUGAUCAGCACCCCAUCUGGGGCCCCAAUCAGAGUCAAGAAGAAUCUGCGCAUAUGCAGAGACUGCCAUGUUGCAUUCAAGUUUAUUUCAAAGAUUGUUUCAAGGGAGAUUAUCAUCAGGGAUAUCAACCGGUUCCAUCAUUUCACAGAUGGGACAUGUUCUUGUGGUGAUUAUUGGUGAAAAUGGUUCAGCAGAUGAAAAUUUUGCAGCUUGUUGAGAAUUCUGAUGUUUAGAGCAGUUACAUGCCUUCAUGGAGGCUUAUAGUUUCACAAGAUUUUGUAGCCAAUCAGAUGAGUGAUGCAAUGCAUUUUUUUGUUUGGCAUGCCCAUAGCCAUGCAUUUUUGCAGUUAAAUCUGCAGUAGGCACUAAGCCAUAGCCGUUGUAGCAUAGCAAUAUUCCUCAUGUCAUGGCUUUUUAAACACUCCCAUUCAAUUAUUUUGGAUACAUCAAUGGGGACAAAAAACUUCAGUCAGAUCUUUCCCUAAGUAUUGGAUUCAGCUAUUGACAGUCUUCUCUCUGUGUAAUGUGUUUCUAUUUCUAUGGGAGGGGGCCGACCACUAUGUGUCUAUGUCAAUUGAAACGUUUGCCCAUUGAGAAGGAACCUUCAUUGCUUAAUAUUCAUGUGUAAACGCACAUCCUUCACAUAGCAAAACAGUGAACAAGAUUAGUUUCUUUUCUUUUUCUUUUUUUUUUGAAAGAGAGACUGUGGAGUAGAGCUCCCCAGUAUAUUAAACGCACAUCCUUCACAUAGCAAAACAGUGAACAAGAUUAGUUUCUUUUUUUUUUUUGAAAGAGAGACUGUGGAGUAGAGCUCCCCAGUAUAUUCGGCUUCACCCUAGCAUGAAUCAACAAAUAUAUUUUUUUUUCUUUUUUUAUUUCAAUUUCAAAUUAUGCCAGAUUGCUUGCCAAAAUUUACAGAUCUGUGAGCCACUCUGAUACAUACCAUUCUUACUUCUAAAACUGUUUUCUUGGAAAGAAAAAAUGCAUAUAUAAUAUGAUAUGAUGAGUUCGGAUUAAGUUGGUUAACAAAAUAGACAUGCUUCGUGAGAAAUGGUCUUCCACAGAUAUACAUAUACAUAUGCUCUACUGCCCUAGAUAAACUCACAGAUCACAAAUCAUGUGGGCAUGUAGCUAGAUAUCAAUGGCAGCAAAAAAGUCAUUUCCAAAUAAUAUAUACAUGAGCUCAUCACAGCCCAUAAGUUCUGCAUUCCAGGAAUACUCAGUGACAACUUAUAGAACUCUUCUUCUAUAGAAGGCUGACAAGGAGGUCGUAGCUGGUGUAUCUAAGCACCGAGGGGGACACAGACUACAAUCUAUUGUUCAUAGUUGAUUGAUUAUAUAGAUCCACAAAAGUAGACACACAAGUCCAAGAAUCCUCUAUGAGUAACACUAAGUUGCCUAUGCCUUCCUAGCUCCGCUUGUUUGUUGUGGGUUGGCUCUAGGAUCCAGCCUUCUCAAUCUCAUAUUGCGAACAAUAGCAGCUUGCUUCUGGCGAUGGCUGUAGCUCUUUCUUUUGCUGCACAGACAAAUGAGAGUUUGAAGUUCAAUAGAAAAGAAGGGAUAUGAAGUGCAAGCUUCCAAUCUGCCAUCUUAGCAAGAAUUUAAGGCAUCAUGCCAGAUAGUCAGCAAGAUUACACUGAAAAGGGACAAAAUCAAAGUUUUUUUGGCUCCUUUUCCUGUAGACCCAUCAUCUAUAAAUAGCUUAUGCAGUAUCUAUUCCAAAAAUAUAAAAUAUACUCAGAUCUACAAGAAUUAUUAUGCAGAUACUUUAGUACCUAAUUGAGACAGUUUUUUACCUAUCUAUGCAUAUAUAAUGUGAAAGAGAAAAGGAAUAUGGAAUACCUGAUAAAAAUAAGGCCAGCUGUAAGAACCAUUCCUCCAAUUGCCCAUGAAACUCUUUCACCGACAGGCAUUUCUCUUGCCCAUCUCUGAAAAUCUUGAACAUCCCAUGAAGCCACACCACUUAAUGUUGGACGUUCUUUUGAAGAAGUCCAUGAAUCAGAGAUGGAAUCCAAACUUGCUUUCCCACCAUAGCAGAAAGUGUCAUCAACUCCAUCAGAGCUGGUCUCAGAAACUUGAACAGAGAAACCAGCAAGACGGCAUAACUCUGUGCCAUUAGAGACCCAUUUAUGUGCUUUGCCACAAAGGAUGUCACCUAAACCACAAGGAGACAAGGCCUGACAUUGAAGUAACGAGCAUAUUCAGAACCAAACCAUGAAAUCAUAAUCAACAAAAAAAGGUCACGAGAUGAAGCUAAAAAUCUCUUAGCACAAGAAAAGGAAACUUCAGCAGAAUCAACAGCUAUUCAGAAUGUAGACAACAGACGGGGGCUAGAACAUGAUUGUUUAGUGUAUAAUUAUAAUCUGACCAUGGAACUAUCAAGCUUAAUCUAGCAGCAGCACUUGUACUUGUGUGUCAGUACAUGUUUGAGAUAUCAGUACCCACUUGUCUCAAUCAUGUCUCUUAAUCAGAGGGUUUACCUGUGUUUUCAUAUCUACAGAGAAGUAUGAUUCUGAACAAGCUUUGAAGACCAUAUCACAGAAUGAUGCGCAUACAACAGGAGGUCCAGGUCUGACACCCACUCGUGGAUCACAUAUUGAGCACUCGAGCAAUUCCCACAAAUGAAUACAUUCUUGACUGCCUUCACCAGUCAAUGCAAGGUUUCUCACUGAGACCAGAGCAGGAAAUGUCUGCGUCACAUCGCAACAUGUAUUCUGACGGAAUAUCCUACAAAGUGCUAGAUCUCUGCGCCCCUUGGGUGCUCUUCCUGGAGGCUUGCCUUCAGACGAGAAGGCAGGGAACCGUCCACCUGGUGAAACACAUACGCCUUUUGGUUGUCCUGGGGAGAAAAAAAAUCAAUAGACUAUCACUACCACAGUCAACACAUAAGGUAUGUGAUAUAAAUCAAUAGACUAUCACUACCACAGUCAUCUACUGAGAAAUUAGAAGCUUCAUCUAUCUUAAAUUCUUAACAAGGAGCAAUCAUUCAAUCUACAACCACAACAUUCAUAUAUAACCAAGACAAUCUGCAUAGCUCUUGCUCAUCAGUCUUACAACAACCGGCAGUAGCAUCAAGAAACUGAACUAUAUGACAGUAAGGUAAACAAAGCCUGCCACAGUACAGCUUAACUUAAUACAGCAUGUAACAAAGCCUGUAACAGUACAGCUUUCACUUGAUAUGAUCAUAGCUCAUCUAACAGUUUCCAUUCCAAACCCGUCCUCUGCGUUAUGAAUUAUGAAACUUCGCAAAAUGCCAACAGUAACCUCAAAGUAAGACCUAAAGCGCGCACAGGUAGCCAUCUCUAAACUUCGCAAAAUGCCAACAGUAACCUCUCGUUUUGCUAUAGUUUAAACUUGUAACUCCAAGACUAAUUAAACCUACAUGCCAACACAAUCGGAGCAACCAAAUACACGACCAGCAAGGAUCCAUUCAAGGCAACAAGAAUCUCUAGCACCACAUGCGAAAACUUAGGGGAAAAAAACACUUCCCUCCACUGGUUAAGUUAUUACACAGACUAAAAAUGAGAGAUCUCGAGGACUCGCAGGAGCGGCGACUGUCCGUACCAGCUGACGCGAGCGGCGAGAGGAACAGGAGCACCAGGAGGAGAGCGAAACCGGUCGUCCUCCGCGGCCGCGUGGGAGAGCCCAUCGAAGCAGCCUGCCCGCUGGCCAGCCGGCGGCUGUGCUGCGGCGACGAGGGGGAACGGCCGGUCGGCGAAUCGAUGCGCUUCGGCGUCGUUGUCUGUGACUCUACCACCGUACAAGUCAACAGGCUCCUCCCCCGUUCGAGCAAUGGGCCGGAUGCGGCGGGAAGCCCAACAGAAAAAGACGGCCAGACCCAGCCGUUGCGUUUGUGUUGGAGAAAAGAGGCAGAAGCGUUAGUGCCACCUCGGCUACCGAGAGCGGAGCGCGGAGGGAGCGAGAUAUAAAAGAAGGGGCAGGACACCAGGGCAACUCAUACCUUUCUCGGCCUUUUGGCUAAGAUCAAGUGUAGUAUCUGUUCUUAUCAGUUUAAUAUCUGAUAUGUGGGCUAUGUGCCCACUUCGAUAUUAAAUUAUUUUUCGUGGGGGAGGACCCGUUACAGUGGCUUGCUACUGGGCCCCUCAAGUGUCGUCCAGCCGUUGCACUGCUGGCAGGGUCUGGCGCACCCCAACCAAAACAAUGCAAAACGUUGUUUCUUAAACUCUGGUUCUGGGCUUAGUCGGGUUUGUUACUGGGCCAGAGUUCGUUUUUUCUGUCAAUGGGCUUCAAAGAGAUUGAUUAUCUGGAAUUGAAAGCGAGAGUUUGAUUUCAUUAGCUGCAUUAGCACGGUGGUUACUUGUGCUAAUUCAGCAAAACACUAGCAAAAUAAUACUCCCUCAAACUUAUUUCAAGAAUCUUGGUCAAAUUUAUAUGAUAAAAUAAUUAUUAUUAUGAUACCAACUAAGUAUCAUUAGAUUGUUAAUUAUAUGAUACCAACUAAGUAUCAUUAGAUUUUUUUCUUAAUUAUAUUUUUAGAUUCUUAAUUAUAUGAUAUCAACUAAGUAUCAUUAGAUUUUUUCUUAAUUAUAUUUUUAUAAUAUACUCACUUUACGUUAUAAAUCUUAGUAUUUUUCUCUAUAAAUUUGGUCAAAUAUGAAAAUACUUUGACUCUCUAAGAUUCUUGUAAUGACUUACCAUUUGGAAUGGAGAAAGUAUUAUCCAACGGCAAAGUUUAUACACCCAGUCUGAGCAACGUUGAUCAAUGAACCAGCUUAUCUGUGUAUUUAAACACAUCUCACCCUUUUGCUCUAAUCUUUUUCGCAGCACGCGCGCAGAGUGGCCGAGCCGUAUGCUCUUGAGCUCAUAUCUUGCACAGUAUGAUAGAUAAAUAUAUAUGUCACACCGACACAGUAUUAUUAUUGCACAAGAUAGAAAUUAUACAAAUUAGAAUACAAAGAAGAGGAAGGAACUAAUAAUAAUAAGAAGAAAUUUCCCUCAAGGUGCACCGCAGGUACCGCCAAACUUGAACAGUGGACACAGAAUCAACUCCGGUCAGUGAUAUCCACCGUUGACGAACGCGGUUAGCCAAUCUGCAUUGAGAGACGUAAUAACAAAAGGCAGAGCCGGCCCGCUAACUGCUCGGUUGAUCCUGAUCCACUUCAUGAGGUGGUGGGGUGGGGCCCAAGAGCGGCUCCAAGUCAGUCAUGGCCAUCUUAUCCAGUGGGUCCAGCCAGACGCCACGCACGUACUACUCCUCCUUUUGUUGCGCCAGCGAUGGGUCCCACGGGGACGAGCUGUCAGAUACUAGCACACUGCCGGAGCGUGAUGACCUAUGCUCUCUGUCUCUUGGAUGAUUUCUCGCUCGUUCUGCUCCCAUGGCCAUCCAUGAAGAUCUGGCCCCACCCUACACGGCUACAUCUACACGGAGAAAACCUUGGUUUGUUCAGGCCGCGCUCAGUAGGCGACACGGCCGCCGCCGGCGGCUCGCCGGCUGCCCCGCACGGUGGCGGUACCGGCACCGGCACCCUCGCCGUUGCUGAGGGCGUCCUCGUCCAUGAAGAUCUGCCUGCACCGGCACUCCACGCUGCAGAACGCCCGGUCGCCUCUGCAUGCACAUCAUCACAUAUACACCGCCAGUCAAACACACGUACGGAGUACUUGUACAAAACAAAUUAAAACAAAGGCUGGCGCGCGAUCGAGAGACGGGCGCGGAGCGGAGCACAGCCUACUGCCUACCUGUACAUGUUGAUGUCCAUGCCCUCGGCGAGCUCUGCGUGGCACAGGCAGCAGCGCUGCAGGAAGGAGCCCGCGGCCGUCGGAGAGACAGGCGGAACCCGCUGCGGCGGCUGCUGCUUGUGGUUGUGGCUGGGGCCGUGGAUCACGAGGGUGGCCUUGCUGAUGAUCUGCGCCGCCGCCGCUGCCUUCCCCUUCCCGCAGGGGUGGCUCUUGCUGUGGGGCUCCAGGAGAACGCUCAGCCCGGCCAUGGAGCCAGCCAGAAGCGGCCCAGAGCAGAGUAAGACUAGCACCUACUAGUAGAUACAGCUGCUGUGGAUUGGAUGCAGGAUAGAUGCUCGAUCUAGCCUGUUUUUUUUUUCUUGGUUUCAAGAUCUCUGCUGUCUUCCUCGGAUCCUUUUGUGUGUGACGGAGAUAUUUUACUCCAUGGAAGGGGGGGUUGCCUGGUGCGCGCGUGUGUGUAUAUAUAAAGGCCGGAGGAAAGAGGAGGGUGUGCGUGGCAGCGUGGGGAGUGCUGCGUUGCACUUAGGAUUGAAAACGGAUAUGAUACGAAUGAAUAUGACCGGUAUUAUAUUUGUUUUUGUAUUUUUGGUUGGAUUUGGAUUCAAAUACAGAUAAUGUCAAUCAUAUCGGAUAAGGUAGGAUUAGAUGUCAAUAUUAUAAAUAUGUGAUUUAAGUAUUCGGAUACGGAUAUGGAUACGGUAUCGGAUGUUGAAUAUUCGGACUCGAAUACGGACAUAUCUAAAUCCCUCAAAACGAAUUUAGUAUAUCCAUACUGUUUUCAUCUCUUGCGCUUAGGCCGAGCAGGGUUAGCACUUAGCAGGCAGAUUUUGAUUGGAGAGUGAGUUCGCCGAUGCACCCCUAACACGACUAGCAACGUGUAAUAACACCUUAAAUAUUCCAUUGGGACUGUCCACACUAGUCCAUUAGUUAGUAAUCUCAACAGCUAAUCACAGUGGAGCUCCAUGGCUGCACACACUCAGCUCAGACCGUAGGUGUUCCAAAUGGUCCAGGCGUUCGCACAUCCAUUGCCAUGCAUGCACUGAUGAUGAUGCACACCAGGGCAAACAAUGAUCGACGCAUGGGGGCAAGCACCGUCCGAGCAGCAGGCAAAGGCUGCGGCCCGCGAAAGCUGCCCUGCUUGGCCCGCGAGUACUGCACAGUCAGUGACGUUCAAGGCUUCUUCCCGCUCUCCUCCCUCCACGUGUAGGUGACAGGACACUGUUGUCGCUUGUGGCGUGGCGUACGGAUCCACUGCUCCCGCAUGUGCUGUGGCCAGCCGUGCCCCCCUGCCCUCGGCCCCUAGCUGUUUGGUUCAAUGCUUCUGCCACGACCAUAGGACACUCAUCCGUAUGGUUUUUAGAUUUAGCCUUGUUUAGUUUCGAAAAGUGAAAAAUUUUCAGUACUGUAGCACUUUCGUUUGUUUGUGACAAAUAUUAUCCAAUUAUGGACUAACUAGGAUCAAAAGAUUCGUCUCGUGAUUUACAGCUAAACUGUGUAAUUAGUUUUUGUUUUCGUCUAUAUUUAAUGUUUCAUACAUGUGCCACAAGAUUCGAUGUGACGGAGAAUCUUGAAAACUUUUUGGUUUUCAGGGUGAACUAAACAAGGCCUUAGGGCUUGUUUAGAUGCAAAAUUUUUUGGAUUUUGACACUGUAGUAUUUUUGUUUUUAUUUGACAAACAUUGUCCAAUUAUGGAGUAACUAGACUUAAAAGAUUCGUCUCACGAUUUACAGACAAACUGUGUAAUUAGUUUUUAUUUUUAUCUAUAUUUAAUACUCCAUGCAUUUGUCGCAAGAUUCGAUAUGAUGGAAAAUCUUGUAAAGUUUUAGGUUUUUGGAUGCAUCUAAACAAGGCCUUAGGAGUACUCCUCUUCAGAUCGUUGUGCUACAUAUGCAUUACUCCUAAGACGAGUAUCCCAAUCAGGGCGAGUUCUCUGGCGUCUUUUGAAAUGAGAUGCACCAACCGUACGCUUCUAGCUGCAAAGCCAUGUGAUGAGGUCGUGGGGAAUCCAGGGGCAAUAAUACCAACAAAUUUUACAUGAAAAGAAAGAAAGAAAGACCUACUGGUCUCCGUCCACGAAAAAGAUACAUAAUUUUUACUAUGUAUGUAAACAUAACGUAUAGCAAAACAACUAGAAAAAUCAAAACAAUUUAGAAUUUGGAAUAGAGAGUAGGUCCUGGGUGCUUGAAAUACCCCUACAAAUUAAAGGUUGCACUCCAUAAUGCUCUUAGCGCUCCACACAUGACUGACGUUUCUAGGUAUAAAAAAACUUUGUAAAGCAAAAACUGUUAUAUGAUGAAAUGAGCGGUGUCUUGCUGUUUUGUUAAAAAUAGAAACGCCCAAUGCUGGCCUGUAAAUACAGUAUACACGAGUUUCCAAACAUCAGGCAGGAAUGGACAUAUAAUCUCUCACACAAUAAGGGUCUGUUUAGAUCCCAAAUCUUUACAUCCCAAAACUUUUGGCUGUAAACUUUACAUUCAAAUAGAUGUUUAGAUGCUUCUUAAUUUUUUUGGUCAACAAGACACAUGACACGGGUCCCUAAGCAAGUUUACACAGUUUUGGGGCUCCAAGGUCCCAAAUUCCAAAUCUUUACAGCUAAGUUUUACAAGCCUCUGUUUAGAUCAAUUCUUUCAAAAAGUGCUCAUUUCUUCAAAAAUUUUAGCUGUUUGGCUGCAUCUAAACAGGCCCUAAGCGUAGAGAGACGAGGCGGAAAAAACGAAACUUUUGAGAAAAAAAAAAACCAAACUAGUAGGGGGGCAGGACAAGAAGCGCAGCAGACGGGGCUACGGAGUUGGGUGGGCGCAGAGUGGUCGGGGGAUGCCGCAGCAGAAGCUGGUGCCCUCCAGCCCGCUGAAAGCGAAGGAGCGUACGGGAACGGGGACUACGGGCCACGCCCGUCUAGGCGUUUGGUGCGCGAGCUUACUGUUUCGACGUGGCGCUAUUAUCCAGAGGCCGGAGCCCCACAGCCCAUUGCAGAGACCAUGGUAAGGCGUAGCGUAGGACGGUAGGAGUAUCGGCGAAGGUUGUGUAUCGGUAUCGCAGCAUAAUUCAUUCAAGUUACAAUUUACCCAUUCAUGUUACAAUGUACAUAAAAACAUUGAUGUGCUUAAGCCUUGUUUAGUUGGUAAUUUUUUUUAGAUUCUAACACUGUAGCACUUUCGUUUAUAUUUAGUAAUUAUUAUUCAAAUAAUAGACUAAGUAGUCUCAAAAAAUUCAUCUCACAAAUUACAGAUUACAAAUAAACUAUGUAAUUAGUCAUUUUUUUUAUUUAUAUUUAAUACUUCAUGCAUAUGUUUAAAAAUUUGAUGUGACAGGAAUCUUGAAAAUUUUUUAGAACUAAACAAGACCUUAUUACUGUAAAGCACAGAACGUAAACACACAAUGUCAAUGACAACAUACACGCACGCACUCGCACACACUGACACACACUUGUUGGCAUUUUGCCCUCAACAACACCCUCAAAAAGCCUCAGGCAGGCACUAGCAGAGCAAGUGCCAAGACCCAAGCUAACGACCUCUACUUGUUAGUUGUUCCAUCACAUAACGAUUGACAUGGUAUACCAAAAAACCAAGCACACUCUGAAGAAAGGAAACGUGGCCUUCACAUUCCAGAUAGGUCCAGUGGAAAGGGAAGAAAGCCAGAAUUAUGGCGUCUUCACCAAACUUCAGGAUAAAAAAAAAAGAAAAGAAAACAAACAAUGCACAGUUUUCUUGAUUCAAAGAGUUGACAAACUGGUGAAAAACAUGUUACAAACACCAAACAAGGACCAACAUCUACGAGGAAAUACUGAAUGGUCACAGGCACAACUCAACUGACCCAGCAAGAAGACGUGGGAAAUUAAUUUAAUUGGGCCUUGCUUUGGUAAUAAUGACAAUAAAAAUGUCACCAGAUCGUUCCAUUAGAAAGAUUUGAUGCUUCGUGGUGCAGAUUGCAGAACGUCCAGAAGCUGCUUCUGUACCUGCUCAGUUUGACUCCCUCUGAAUACAAAUCCAGCUCGCCCUGUACAGGGUUUUGCAAAGAGAUGAGAAAAUGUUAGUGCUUGAAAUUGUUUUUUCCAAGAGACUAGCAUUUCUUGUUGCAAAGAUAUUAGCAUAACAGCAUGUAACAAAACCAGACCUGUUCCUCAGCUUUUCUCACAGAAAUCUUCCUGGUGGCCAUCAUUCUUCCAUUCAGUUUCAUCAUCUGCUUCUCCUGUGGCAUCAUUUUCAGCAUCACUUUCGCUAGCUGUUUCCCACUCAGAGUCAUCAGCCUCUUGACCAAACGCAUCGCUCGCAUCUCCUUCACAAUGGACACCACCAUGCUUCAGAGCUGCUUCCCUGAAUAGCCAAGCGGCACGCAUCUGCUUCUUCACCAAUCGCUCAGCAUAAUCAGGAACUUUGUUUUGCUUCAGGGAUAAGUCAGGAUCGUUUGACUGAGAGCACUCGUUUAUGAAAAGGAUUGCAUCCAACAAGCUCUCUUUUGCAAAACCAAGCAUAUCGUAUGCUUGAGCUCUUCUCCACAAACUCUUGGCAUGACGAUUCACAGGGCUAUGAAGGCACAAUGCUCGAGUAGCAUCGCUUAUGGCAGCCAAUGGCUGCUGCAGGAGAAGGUAACAUUGAGCUCGAUUGCUGUAUAGAACCACCCGCUCUUUCUUAGACUUCAUUGGACAUAGUGCAAGUGCUUCAGAGUAUUUCUCUGCAGCACCUGCAAUGUUCCCUGAAGAGAACAGCGAAUUGCCUUCCAACUUGACUACCAAUGCUGCAGCUUGUUUUAUAUGAAGAUCCUCCUUUGGCAUACUCUUUUCCAAUUUCAAACUUUGCUUGGAUCUCAAAAGCUCAUCAAUUUCUGCUUUGGUUUGAGCACUGAUUGCACCGCGUGAGUUCCCACUCUGUUGCAUACAUUCUUGGAGGACUGUGACAAUUGUGUCACCAAGUUUUUUAUAAUCACCCAGUGUCGAAAUAUCUGCUAAGUCUAUCAGUGUUGGCGCAACUUUAUCUAUAACCUGCACAAAGGGAGGAAAAAAAUAAGCAACUAGAGCUAAGAAAACUACAGUUAAUAGAUAGAGCUCCGCUAACUGAAUUGGGAUUGAACCAGAAAAAAAAAAACAUAUGUAUGCAUUCUAGCUCAAUGCUAUUUAAGGAAACCAUUGCAUAAUUACUCUUGAAACAUUCAAUUAGGAGGAAUUAAUUAUCCUGACCUGGUGUUUCAAAGAUUAGAUUAAUAUUCUUAUUUACUGUUUAUGAGGAACUCUGUUAUUUCUAUUCUGUUCUAGCCAUCAUUUCUAAGCUGAUGUGCAUAUUUCAAGCCUUAUCAGGCCUUAAACAUAACCAAUUUAAGCAAGCAAAAUGCAUUUCCCAAGAUCUUACCUUCUGACAGGUACUUGCAUCCUGCACUAACCAGAUCAGACAAUCAACUGCCAUGUAUUGCCAGUCAUCUGAAGAACGAGCAAUGUUACAUAAAGCAUCAAUAGUACCAGGAAUGUUAGCAACAUGACCUCGGCCAACUUUGCUCUGGCAGAUUGUUCUUAGCAAACCAACACCAGCAGGCGAGUUCUCAUUUACAAGUCCACCCCACAUUCCAGGUAACUUAACUAGAAAAUCGGGCUUACAAAUAUCAUGGAGGAAUUCAGGCUUAAAUGCAAAGCAGUUAAUGAGUUGCAAAGACCAGCACUGCAGUUGACUUGCCCAUUCCUCAGCUUUGCGGGAUUCCAUUUCCACACCACCCAUGCCACGAGUAAGAAGGUCGCAAUGGUAGCCAAGCCUUCGAUCCACAAAUUGGUAAAAGUGAGAGUACACAAUCUCUAGGGAGCUCGAAGCAAGUUGAAUGGCAAGUUCAAGUACUUCCCCAUGAUCAGCAACUGCAGGAAAUGUACUAGGAUAUGUAGCCAAAUGCCCCAAAGCUCUAACGGCAACUCUUUGCUCAACCCACGUCAGCCUACCUCUUAACAGUUCGACUAAUGGAGGUAUUACACCAGCACGAACAGCACGCUCUGCAAACUCCUCCAUAUUCAUUGUGUAUGAUCCAAUUAUGUGAGCUGCAUAAUAUGGGAUGUAAAUAUUUUGAUCAUGUGCAAGCCAACGCCUGUUUUUCAACCCUUUCCAUAUAAGAGCUGCCAUGCAUUCAAAUAUGCCCAAGUUGAUGAACUCGGGAUCAUUUGGGUGAGCCAUUGCUGUGUUCCAGAGACCACUAAUAGGGAGAACUUGACCAUCAUCAUCUUGGGAAGGAAGUUCCCUAAAGAACUUUAGCACACUUGCUCUUCGUUUACUUGGGUUUGCCUCCUUCAUGACACAAAAGAAACAUCCAGGAUAAGGGCAAUCAGAUUGUAUCUUGUCCAUUAUGGGAAGGGCAGCCAAUCGAUUCUAGACACUUCUUCAAUGACAACCUCAAUGAUCACACUUCAAACUGCAUCAGAACCAACCAAGCAAAUUAAAAAUUCUCCAAUGAACAAAUUAAAGGACAACAGGACGCAUUGUCAAUGUAGGAAACUAAUUGCAAGAAUAAGCAAACAACUAUGCCAUUUCAUGAAGUGUAUUCUUCCUAUAAGUAUCUGCUAACUUGGGGAGGGCCAGACUACAUAAAAGCGGUGAGUACAUCUGCUUGGUAACCAUCGGGAAGCAGAUCUGGAGCACAAGAAGCGUCUUCAGCAAAAUCAGGCAAGCACUAGAGUGUUGAGACUUCAGUGACUGAAUGACCAUACCAAAUUAUGAAAAAAAAAUGCAUAUAUCUCAAGAGAUGAUAAUAAGAUGUAUAAUUAAUUAAAUUAUUUAGACCAUCUGACUGAUGAUACUAGUGAAUAGAUCAACCUAAUUUGUUUGCUAUUUUAUUAACACUGGUUUAAGUUCUUAAAUAAGAAGCAGGAAUUUUCAAAAUAAAAUCAUCGAGUAUGCAUUUGUAGAAACUAACAUAACCAAAACAGAAAUCCAACCAGUUCACUAGGUUUUGUUGGUUUCAGGAACAUGGAAAAUGGGCAGUGGAUUCAACACUCAGGAAAGGGAUCCACCGACUUAAAAAAGUGAAGUGGUAGACACCAUCAGUCUAAGCUUCUCAUUCUCCGUCCCUCACUUUCAAAUUGCAUCUAGAGUUGGAAUAGAUCAAACUGAAGAGCGAGCUAUCAGCUGAAAUUUUGAGCCCAUCAUCCGAAAAUUUGAACUCGCAGCUUGAAAUUUCGAAAGCCUUGAGCGAGUAUCUGGAACUUGUAGCCACGGAAAGGAGCUCCAAAUAAUCGGAUAGCUGGAGACGGGGCUCAGCUGGAGAUUUGAAAAUCCCAGCCGCAAGCUGAACCUCAGGAGCUACCAAUCUAAACUAUGCACAGCGAAAAAUGGCACCUUACCAGCGCAUUCCAACGUGGCGGGACGCCUCCGUACGGCAAUGGUGGCGGUCGGCGCCGCUGGCCCGGGCGGCGCACGCGCUCGGUGGGGCGCCGGGGCAGUGCGGGGGCGGGGGCGGCGGCGGCGGCGGCCAAGCUAGGGUUUGGCGAGGGCGCGCGCG